rnacentral:lncRNA from 1 species
UAUUUUCUUAUAAAACAAUAUUUAUAGAGUUAUACGUGAAUAAUUUUUAUAGCGUAAAAGCUAAAUAAAUUUAUACAUACUGAAAUACAGUAAGCCAAAAUAUUUAAUUUAAUUUACAAUAACAAGAGGGCCCCCGAAUAAACAAAAGUAAAGAGGACUGUGAACCUACGGUUUGGAAAAUGCAGAUCCAAUGGUAGUCCUCGAUGAGAUCAGCUAUCUACAGUCUAUACUGAACCUGAAAUGGGUGGAAAGGAGUUGGGUGAGAUUUUGCAAUCCCAAUGAGUAAACAGACAUUAUCAUAAAUAUCUAAAGGCGAGUAAAAUGGAGGCAAGUUUAAACAACAAAUUUCAACCCAUUUCAUAAUGUUUUCAAUUUAUUUCUUAAACCAUAAAAUAUUUGUAAUUUACCAAAACAGUUGUUAAGGCUUAUGUCUUUUAUUAAAACAAGGCUCAAGCCAAAACUAAUCCUCGGGGAUACCUUGGCCGAGGCAUCUAACCGAGUCCGCCAAGGGUGUUAAAAUAUUCACACGUGAAACACAUUUUUAUUUUUAAAACCAGCCGUUCCUUGGCGUUGGCCGAGUUACACAUUCACGUGGGGGUUCGACGUGAAGUGAGCUCUAAUACUACCCCAGGAGUUACCCUCCUCGCCUCUACAACCGGAGUAACUAUAUAACUGGGUUUACCGUGCCCCUCUAAUAGGCAGUCCACGGAAACCCGUCACUGCAGUGACUAACCCACCAAUUUUAAUAAAAUUUCGACAGUAUAACGUGGCUUUUAUUUAUUUAUCCAGCCUGCAUAGUAAAAACAACUUACAUAAAUUUCCCAAUGCACUCACAAAAUAUAGCCACAUAUACUCAUUUCUCAUAAGCCAUUCCUAGGAAAAUAUAUAUUUUUCAAGUCAAUUUGCAGCCUCCAAUUACUCAAUUUCAUAAUCAAUACAAUAUAUUUUUAUUUGUCACAUUUAUUCCUAAAACAUCAAAAAUCCCGUUUUAAUCUCGUUUUCAUUUCAUAAAAUACAUAAAGGGCAUUUAAAAAUAAACUCUAGAUAAUUUACAAUAAUAAUAAGUUUACUCACCGUUUGUACAAACUAAAAGCUUUCUAAGCGCCCCGAUCACUACUCGUCGGGUACGACUUCUUUGCCUUUUCCGGAAGGCUCUCCUCCUAGACACAUUACAAAAAUUUACACAAUUCAUCACAUUGAUGCUAAAUCACUAUAUAAUUAACUUAAAUCCUAUACUAAUGCAUGGUAUGAAAUGCAAUAGCCUAAAACGGCUUAAACGCGGUAUUAACCUAUUUUUGGCACUUUGCCCGAUAAAUUGCUAACGCGCUCCAUUUUAGCUCUAAAUCAUCCCAUUCUCUCUCCAACAUUUCUAACCAUUAAAUAUCAGCCAAUAACCUUCUAAAAACAACAAAAUCAGCUCACUCCCUUCCUUGGAAAAUUCGGCCAAAAAUGGGACAUUAACUCGGUUAAUUUUCUACUUUGUUUUUCUAUCACGUUUAAUCGUUUUUCAUCAUUUUCUCUUCAUUUUCCUUAGAAUAAAAUCAAUUCAUCAUCAUUGUACAGCAUUGAGCAUCCAGCCAAGAGUGGGUAUUGUGAAAAUUUAAUGAUUUCUUGCCCAAUUUAAUUUCUAAACACAUUUAACUAACUAAAACUAUCAAUUUAACUAAAAAUCAAAACCUAAAAAUUUCAAUUUCUCUCCCCUAGAAUUUCGUCCAGCCCUUGAUAUCACUUUUUGAUCUCUCUCCUCAAGCAUGCUAAAUGGAAAUAAAGGCAUAGGAAAGGUAGAAAUCAAGCUAAAAUCGAAAAAUCUUACCGUUAGACGCGUAAACGGUCGAAAACCGCGAAUUUCCCUUUGAAUUUUCUUGUUUCUCUUUGGUUUUUCUUUUUUUCUUCCUUUCCUCUCUAUUUCCUCUCUUUUUCUUCCUUAUGGCCGGCCAGCACUCAAAAUUUGGGUUUAAAUGGCUGACUUUUCAUUAAAAUAAUAUUAUUUCAUUUAAAAAAAUGCCACGUGUCACUUUCCCAUUGGCCCAUUUUUAAAAUUUCAUCCAUUUGUUUCCAAAUUUUCACCAUACACUUGUCUCAUAUAUUCAUAGCUUAGAUAAAAUUCUCAGACUCAUCCAAAGUCUCGGUGGAGUAAUUUUUAAAAUUUACACUUUUGCCCCCGUAAAAGUCAAAAAUUACAUUUUUGCCCCAAAAAUUGAAAAAUUGCCCAUAGACAUAUUUUUCAUCCCUUAUACUCAUACCAUUCUCCAAUUUGUCAAAUUUGAUCUAAAUUCUCUCAAAAUCUCAAAUUUUGUCCGUGGGUGGCAAAAUUACGAUUUUGCCCCUACACUCCAAAAAUCACCAGAAUUAAACUUUUUCACUUCCUAUCAUUAAAUUAUACUCCAAAUAGUUAAUCUUGGUCAAAAAUUUCACUCCAUGAUCAAAUUAUUAUCUUAGGUGGCAAAAUGACGAUUUUGCCCUUGAACAUCAAAAUUUCCAAUUUUACCCCAAAUGAACCCUCGAACUCCGAACAAUCAUUUUUUUCAUUCCUGGACUAUAAAAUAUUAAAUUUCAUCAUACAAUUCCUAUUUGAACUAGUUCGAGGUUAAAUCAACUCAAGUGUACCGUUAGGUACGAUAUCGGGUUUCGUCUUUUCUUAUCUGCUUUCCUAGCAUAAUAACAUGCUACUCAGUGCAUGUAUGUCAUGACAUGUAUUUAUAGGGUUGGGUUUUACAUAAAACUUCUUGGAAUUGAAUUUUUUCAUUUUGGCUCCUUUCAACAGUCAUCUUCACUUUGAAUUUAAACUUCAGCGCUUCAAAUCUGAAGCUUUAACUGAUUAACCACUUUGCUUAACCUGUUAGCAAACUUCUAUUUUUAACUUCUGUAUUUAGCUUGCAACACCUUCUUAAUAGGUAAAGCCUGGUGCGAAUCGAUUAAGACUUUUCUGCAUUUCUUUUAUACAUCACCCAAUUAAGCCUUAACUGGUUAAGGCUCCUCCUUAAUUAGUUAAUGAGGUUCCGUUUUCACUAAAUAUUUUCUUCUUUCUCACUUUAAUUAAUUAACUAUCUUUUAAUUCCACUUGCCUUUAAUCACCAAUUUUAUUAGGGAAAUUAACUUUAUCUUGCACACUCAAAUAGUGAAGUUAGACAUUAAUCAAUAAGGAAUCUUUUGUUAUCAUAAAAAACAUAUAAAGUCAACAAUCUCUUUCUUUUAUUUUUUUUUAUGACAAAAUACCCCUAGAUUAAGAGUGCAAUGUCUAUGUUCAGUAUAAAUACUUUAAAUUUUUGUGCAUAAUUAGGAUUGUUCCCCUUUAGUUAAUGCAUCUAGUUUUCUUUAAAGAUUUGCAAUAAAAUAUUUAUAAUGUUCGUAGUAGCUAAACAAGAUAUACAAUAUCCAUAGUAGCUAAGCAAGAUAUAUUGAAUAUCCAUAAUAACUAGCACAAAAUAUUCAACACAACAUAACUAAGCAUCACACACUUAAAUUAAACUUAAAGACCUAUCAGACUCUAUUUAACUUAGUCUUCAUUCUCUCUUUUUUUGUCAUCAUUAAAAAAGAUAUUCAAAACUCCCCCUUAAUUAGUGCAUUUAAAUUUUUCUUUAAUCUUUGAAUUAGACUUUAAUGAAUGGGAAUCAUAAGCACUCAUACAACUAAGUCAUACAAGCUUAUAGAUGUAGUUCAAUACAAAUAGAGAUAUGUUUAUUAAACGUAUAAUACGACACAACACGUUUAACAUGUUUAAUAGAUGGUUCGAGUUAAAUUUUAUAUGACAUAACACAAUUUACAAUCUGUUUAAUCGAUUAACACAAUUAAAUAAAAUGCAUACAAUUAUAAAUCAAAUAUAACUUUAUCACCCAAAUUUAAAACUAAUAAUUGUAAAAAUGAUUAUAACAAAAUAAUAACAUCCAUCAAACAUAAUAACACUUACCAUCAUCAUCAACCAACCAUGAUAAAAUCCAUCUCCAUCAUCAUUAACCAUAAUAAAAUAAAGUAGUUAUAUGGAGGUUUAAACAGGUCAUAAUUGGGUUAUAUAUGUGUUGAGUAGACAAAUUUACACGAUUAAUUAAAUAGGUAAUAAAAGGUAAUGAGUUAUUCGGGUACACUUUAACAUGAUUAACUAAACAAAUCUUAAACAGGUUAAGUGGGUUUGACAUGUUUAAACUAUGAAUUUUUUUGUAUCUUAAUCUAGUCAACACGAUUAAAAUAAGAAACCUAAUUACCCUUAACCCAAACUGAUUAACUAAUUAAUAUGGAGUCUUAUUCAGUUAUGGUAAAGCUAGCGCUAUACAAAAGCAAGACAAAAAAGCCUUAAUUAGUUGGCACAAGACUUAACUGAUUAAGAAGGUGCAAAAAGCGAAACAUAGAAGCUCGCUAAUCGAUUAAGCGAAGUGGCUAAUUGGUUAAGGCUCAAACUUGAAGCACCUAGAAAUGCCCAAACUCAAAUGCAAAGUGAUGUUAAUUGUCCAAAGGUGCCAAACCAAAAGAUUCAAAGUUGAAGAAUUCUUUAUUGGUCAGAGCCCAUUUUAAUUAGUUAAAGAUGAAAGGAAAAAGGCCUUAAUCAGUUAGUAAGAGCUUUAAUUAGUUAAAGGAUGAUUGAUAAAAAACAGUGUUUAAAGGUGAUUGAAAACAAAAAGUUAUUAAUCAGUUAAAGCAGCUAUUAACUAAUUAACACAAUGAAACAAUUUGCAAGUUCAAGAAGGCUUAAUCGAUUAAAACCUACCUUUAAUCGGUUAAUAAAGCACUGUCAAUAGAUUUGAAGUUAAGCACGAUAGGACAAAAUAACGACCAGAAACUGUUUAUAAUGGCUAAUUUCUGUUUCCAACAGCCAAAAGUGAUUUUUCAAGUAUUUAACGCCUCUCCAACCAUCAAAAAUCAAUGAGAGAAGUUCUAAAAAGUUUGAAAGAGCUUAGAAGAGCAAAAACCUUCUCUUUUACACUUGUAUUCCACUCAUAUCUUGGUGAAAGUGUUUCAGUUGAAGCUUGUACUACUUAAAUCAAUUAAGUGAUUAUUUGUACCUCCUUCUUUAUCUUUUUAUUUCUUGUUUACUUAGAGUGUUUGAGGCACUCUAAAGGGUAGUCUAAGUUAGGGUAAACUUAGUACUUGUUGUAAAAGGGUUGGAGUUUGGAUUAGAAGUUCACCUUGUAAAAGCUUGGUGAAAGAUGUUAUUUUAAUUGGUUCUGAUGAAGUUGGGUUGAAAAACCUUGAUUGGGAAAAUCAAGAUAAUAGAUAUAGGUCAUGUAGACCAAACCACUAUAAUAUUGUAUUUUGUCCACUUCUCUUAACCUCUCUUUUCUUGGUGUUAGCUAACCUCAAUAAGUUUUUAAAUCAUCCAUCUUAUAUCUUCCAAACGGAUUUUAAAUUUCAAGCGUUACCUCAAAAAUAUAUUUAAAUACUAUUAAGCUCCCCUCUAGCACUUCUUUUGAUACUAGUAGUCUAAACAGACCCUAAGUCUUCACUUUUAUUUGGUGUAAUCAAGUCUUCAAAAGCUAUCAACAUAUUAAACUCGUCCUUUUCCCUUCAUUAGAGAAUUGACAAACUCAUUUAACCUCAAGUUUUCAUUACGGUAAAAUGAAAAAUUAAGCCCUUAAAGUAAAUUGACCUAUUUGGUAAACUAUUUUUUUUGAAUAAACAUAUAAAAUAUGUCUUAAGAAUUUCCUUUUCCUAUUAGGUUAAUGAAUGGUAAUUUAAAUUUCUACCUUUAGAUGUCACAAAAGAAGUUUGUUUUCUCGCAAUAAGUAAGAGAUGUUUGGUUAAUUAUCCAUUUUAUAUUCAAAUUGUAAUCAAAUGUUUGAUGUAAUACUUAAAGUUUAAAAAUAUGUAAGUAUUCAAACUUUUAAUUUUUCAAAAAAAAAAAGGUAUUCAAAGCUCAUAAAUUUGAAAUGAAAAAACAAAAAAAACAAUUAAAAAAUUAUAUCUAGUUUAAUUAGAAUAUUAUUAUUUAAUGUUUUUAGAUUUUUUUACAGUUCAAAAUUAAGAGUUUUUUUGAAUUGUUAAUAAAAUAGUCCUAAAUAAUUUAUUUCUUUUUUUUAAUUUUCCUUUUUUCUUAUAUCUUUUUUUUUUAUUUUUUAAGUUGAUAAACAUUGAAUAGAAAAUAUUUUUAUUAUUACUAAAUUAAAUUAGAUUAUGAUAUUCUUUGUAUUUGUUAUUUUUUCAAUUAUUUGAGGAUAAUUAAGACUUUUCAUACCUAUAAAUAAUUGUUGAUGGUGAUAAAUAAUUAAUAAGUCAAAUAAUACAUUUGAAACAAGAAGGACCAAAACGUGCUUUAGUGUAUUAAAAGAAGAUUUUGUAUUUCACCGGCAUUCGCACUGACAGCACAUUUCAAUAGCUCAUAUAACUUUGAAACUUACUUGGGCUUUCUUGAGUCUGGUUUAAAUACCAAAAAUACACUCAAAUAUGGUCAAUCAUAUAAUUGGGCUUGUACUAAAUCUUGGUUUAGCAGAAAUUUGGGCCGAAAUUGUACUGAAAUGUGGGGAUAACCCACCCAUGCAUUUUUUUGUUUUUGGAAGAGGUUAACAGAUAUCAAUGAUUGAUUGGCUUCUUUCAAUUCAAAAAUUAAUAGUAUCAAGAAGGUCAAAUUAAUUGGAAUAUUUGUCGUCUCAACUGAAUUACAAAAGUCAUUAUAUUAAAAUUGAAUUUUGGUUUCCGUUUUCUUCGACAUAAAUUUUAAAAGUCGUUUUAAUUAUGCUCUUUUUACGAUUUUAACAGUAUUUGUUUAGAUUUAAUUGUAUUAUAUAACAUUUUGAAAAUAUUUUAAAUGAAAUGUUGCUAACAAUGUUUAUACUUUAUUAAUCGUUGUUAAAGGCGAAAAAAAUGUAACCAAAAAUUUAAAUUACAGUAAUUGUUGUUAAAGGGGUAAAAGCCAAAUACUCUCCUCCAAUCAUUCUAAAAAGACAGUUUAAUUUUUUAUUUUAAAAUAAUAUUUUUGGCCUUUUGACUAUUAACAUUGUUAUUAACAAUUAAAAAAAAUUAGGACUUAACAUCACAUAAAUAUUUUAAGACACAAAUGACUCUUAUAUCAUUUUCUUUCAAUUUAGGCAUAUUCUUUUUGAAAAAAAAAAAUCUGCUCAUCCUCUUCCAAAAACCUUGAUCAGAAAAAAAUAGUUAAUCGUUAAAAAUAGGAUUUUGAACACAAAAAAAAAAAAGAUAAAAAACUAAAAAAAAAUAAAAGAAGAAAAGAAAUGAAAGACCUUGACAGAUACAUCUUCCAUGGGAUUGAUGUUAGUGAAUUUUAUCCUCUUUAAAUGGUAGAAGCCAAGAAAUAUCAAUAACUUUUUCGUAUUUUUUUUCCUUUCUAAUCAAAAUUCCUUUAGUUAAAAAAACUAAAGUUUUGAUUUGUCAAAUCAAAACACUAGUAAUUUUCGUCUCUUUCUCUAUUAUUUAGGUAGCAGGUUUGAUUUGUCUAUGGGUGGAUGUUGGAUUUAUAUGAUCUUAUUGCAAGUUCUUUUUGUGGCUGGGGGUUCAAUUCUUGUAAUUUUUUAAAUCUGAUGGGAUUUUUUAUAUUGGUGGAAAGAGGCUUUAUUGAUAUUACAGAAGAUUUAAGGGUCUAGAUAACAAGUGGUCUUGUUAGUGAAUGGUAUUGUGUAUGUUGUUAUUAGGUUUGAAUUUAAUAAUCAUUUAAUUGUGAUGACGAUGGGUUUUUGUAUUGACACAAAUAAUAAGGGGUGUGAUAAUCUUCCUGUAAAUCACUCUAAGCUUGAGUAUCCUUUUUGCAAGGCAACCCAACACUCAUGCUGGUUCAAAUUUAUGUAGUUUUUGUAAGGGGUUGUAGGUUGUUGUGCAAAGUCUUCAAACUAAAUUGAGGAAAACUUGAAACAGCACUUUGUAGCUUCUCCCCAUAUAAAUACAAUGAUCUUAUCUAAAAAAAUAGCUAAAGUUGUGAGAAAAAGAAAAAGAAAAAGAAAUCAAAAUCCAAAGAGAAAAGAGAAAAUUCUUCUAGUUAUAAGAAAAAAAAAAGGAAUUCAAAGAAUGAGUGUUAAUUAUUACAAAAUUCUUCAUAUGGACUGAAAUGCAAAAGAUGAAAAUUUGAAGAAAGAGUAUCAAAAUUCCUUCAAUUUUUUUUAUUAAGGUUUUUGGAAAAGAAAAUAGAUAACAUGUUUCUUUUAUAAAAGAGGAUAUUCGUGUUUGAAAUAUUUAUGUAAUAUUGAAUUGAAUUUUUUUUAAUUGUUAACAAUAAUGUUAACAAUCAAAGGACCAAAAGUAUCAUUUUAAAAUAAGAAAGGGGAAAGUGUCUUUUUACAAUGAUUGGAGGAGGUUUUUAGAUUUUACCCCCAAAUAAGUGUAUCUAAAGUCAAAGUUUAUUGUUGUGAGUUAAUUUUAUGGCUUUUAUCAACUAUAAUAAGUACUAGUAUAGGUGCUAUAUAUAGUAAUAUUUUUAGCUUAAAUAGAAUAGUUGAUAACAAAUGUGAUAAAUUCUAAUACAUAUGGUAAAGAUAUCAUUUUAUAAGUUAUAUUGCUUGCCUCCACAAUUUUAUCUCAAUUUUUAUCUAACUAGCUGUAACAAAAAUUUAUUGGACAACUUCAAGAAUGGGAUCUAAAAGUCAACAGUUAAUGCAUGUUUAAGUAACCAAUAGAUCUUAGUUAUAUUAGGUGAGACAAACAAUUGGCAUAAAAAUGUUGGAACAAAUAAUAUAUUUCUCAUUUUACUUAAAGGAAAUGUUAGGUGAUAUUUAUAGAAAAAAAAUUGUAAUUAGUAUAUUAUCUUUUAUUUUUGAAUUGGUUAUAAAAAAACAUUAAAUGAAAGUAUUUUGUAAAAUAAAAAUUUAACUAAUCUUAACAAGUACUGCCUAUAAGCACUCAUUAAUACGAUCUUUCACAAUCUUAAAAAAACUCAAACUUUUAUCUUCGAAGUAGAAGUUGUUUAUUUCAUCAAACAAUUAUUUCUAUUUCAUUACUAUCAAUUGUUUUUCAAACUUCAAACUAAAUAUAGCAUUAUAACCAAUGACGGAGCCAGAAUUUCAUGUUCGCGAGGUAAAAAUAAUGUCUAUAAAAUAGUCAUAUUAGAAAUUCAAUGUUUGUAAGGACAAAAUUAUAAAAUUAAAAGAAAAAGUGGUCAAAACUAUAAAAUUUAAAAAAAAGCAAGGGAAAAUUAUAAAAUUUUAAAACUUUUGAGGGAGUAAAGUGUCAUGGACCCACAUUUCUAACACAAAAGAAAUACCUUAUAGGUGGUGGAAGGUCCAUGUUUAUAUACCCAAAACUCACCCCAUCUCUUAUUGAUGCGGGAUUCGUAACAUUCUAUCUCACCCAAUGGUGCAACGCCCUCAUUGUAUUGGCUCUUUACCCAUAGAGGAAGGGGAUUCUUACACUAGUCUAGGUCUACAUUGUCACGACCCGGUACUCCCUUCGAGCCCAUGACAUUCGUCGUGAUGUCUCGAUAGACAUUCAUUACUCGGAAUUUCAACCAAAACCUUGCAAGGCUCUCGCAUCAAUUUUGCAUCUCCCAUGUGAGCAGUAGUUACUAAAUAUCAUGUUUUUUGGGAAUAUAAACUAUUUUGAAGUCAAAACAAAUAAAAAAAUAAUUUUUAUCACACAGGGGUAUUUUGGUCAUUUUUACCCAAAAAUUUUGAAACUUGGUAAAAAUACAGCAUACGAUCGAAAUAUAUACAUUGCUUAUUUAAAAAUAAUUUUAGUAAUCUAAUUCAUCCAUUUAAAAUAAAGUUUUGGCUAAUCAAACUAAAUAAAAAUAUUAAAUAAAAUAUUUCAUUUUCUUAUAAAACAAUAUUUAUAGAACUCUGCGUAAAUAAUUUUUGUAACGUAAAAGUAAAAAAAAUUCAUACAUACAGUGGCACACGCAGCCAGGUAUACAAAAGAUUCUACAAUGACAUGUGGGCCCUCAAAAUAAACAAAUAUGUACAAGAAGGUAGACCUUUGAUUUCUAAGGAUGUAAAUCCUAAAGUAGAUCAUCGACGAAAUCAGCUAUCUACAGAUUAUCCUGAGCUUGAAAUAGGUGAAAAGAAAGGGUGAGUUUUUAUAAACCCAGUGACUAAGCAAAAGUUCAUCUAUAAUAUCUAAAGCCAAGUAAAUGGAGACAGUUAAAUCAUCAAAUCAUAAUAUAGUUCAUAACAUUCAAAACUCAUUUCAAUUCCUAUAAAACAAUUACAUUUCAUCAAAAUAAUCAACAAGGCUUAUGAUUAUCUUAAAACCAUAUAUUAAAACAUAUAUCAAAACACGAGUAUAUAGUCUCCACUUACUCAAUUUCCAAAACCAGUAUUCAGUCUCAAAACAAGUUAUAAAACUCAUUUCAUUUAACCAACACUUAUGUUUUAAAACGUAAUAAUUUACCAUUUAAACUCAUUAUUCUUUAAAACAUAAAAACGAGUAGAAACAACUUUAGAUAGUUAAGAUGAAAGUCUGUUACUCACAAUAGCAGGAGUUUAGAGUACUCAUAUUCUUGGUCCUCGGGCACAAUAUCUUUACCCUUAUCAAAGAGCUCACCACCUAUACAUAAUACACAACACGUAAUUCAAUAUAUUUGUGCCAAACUAUUAUAAAACUAUUUCAGGCUCUAUAUGAAUGCAUGACAUUGAAUGAGAAUUGUCCGAAUAAUCACUUAAAGACGGUGUUCUACAUGGGUUCAAUUAUGAUCGGAUUGAAUUGGCAUUCGACCUAACUUGCACUAUGCCUUGUUUAAUUAGCCAAAACAUCCAAUUCAACUCCAAAUAUCUUCAUUACACUUCCAAUAUUCCAAAUACACUAAAGUACCUCAAUGAGCUUAAUUGUGACUCAAUUCACCGUAAUCGAAAUUCAUUUCGAUUUCGAUAUCCGAUACCAUAAAUCAUCAAUUCCUAGCUAAAUAACAUGAUUUACAACCAAAUCCAUCAUCAACAUGCCCUAUGGAAAAUUCGGCCAAAUGAGGGUGGUUGAAGAACAUGUGAUUUUCUUGCUUGUUUUUCCUUCCAAACAUCACAAAAUGACUAAAAACACUAGGAUAUUAUGAAAAAUCUAGCAAAAUUCAUCACCAAAACUUCUCUCUCUAGAUUUGGCCAGCAAAGGUUUCCUCUUGGAAACUUGAAUUUCAGCCAUGGAGAAUGAAAAAGAAUGCAUGGGAAAGGUAGAUCACAACCUAAAAUUAAAAAAUCUUACCUUUACUUGCUUGAUUCCUUAAAAUCCAAAUAUUUCUCUUGAAUUUUUAUUUCCUAGGGUUUGUUCUUCUCUUUUACUCUUUGUUCCCUUGCUUGGCCGGCCAUAAGAGUGUGAAUGUGAAGGUUUUAAGUGAGUUUAUAUAGGCAUUUAAAAUAAUAUUAAAGCUUGACACUUGUCACCUUUUAAUUGAUCCAUGUUUAAAAACUUAAUAAUUAAGCAUUCCAUUCCCACCACAUAUAAUCUCUCACUUAAAAAAAUAAUGGGUGAAAUUCAUGGAUUUGACAGUGUCAUGGUGGUCUAAAAUUCUAAAAAAAUUCCAAUUACGUCCCUGUGGACGCGUAAAAUGACCGUUUUGCCCCUAUGUUCGGAAAAAUAUCGAAAUUAAAAUUUUUCACUUCUCAAAUUCAAAUUAUGCUCUAAUUAAUCAAAUUUAGUCAAAAUAUCAUCCAACAUUCUAAUUUUACCCUUGAGUGGCAAAAUGACCAUUUUGCCCUUAUGUUAUGAAAAUUCUCGAAUUAAUUCCAAAUCAAUCCUCGAACUCCGAAUCACCAUAUUAAGACAUUCUAAGGUUCAAUAACUCUCAAAUACAUCCUAAAAUCUCUAUUCAAACUAGUUCGAGGUUUUAAUCGACUUAAUUGUAGCACUAGGUACGAUACCGACUUUUAACAAUUCUCCGAUACAUUCACUUAUGCAAACAUUCUAUCAAGCACAUGAAUGACAUGACAAGUAUAUAAUAGAGUAGGGCUUGAUAGCACUACCCUCCUUAAAAUAAAAUUUUGACCUCCAAAUUUCACUUACCGGACUCGGAGAAAAGAUGCGGGUAUUGGUUUCUUAUCUGGUGCUCAACUUCCCACGUCAUCUCCUCCAUCUGAGCAUUUUUCCACAACACCUUAACCAUUGGAAUGUUCUUAUUGCUCAACACUCGAUCCUUUCGAUCUAGAAUACGUACAGGUUGCACCUCAAACUUCAAAUCUUCUUGUAACUCAAUCGGAGGUGUCUCGAGGAUAUGGGAGGGAUCAGGUACAUACUUCUUCAACAUUGAGACAUGGAAGACAUUGUGAAUUCGAUCCAACUCUGGGGGUAACUCUAGUCUAUAUGCCACUGGCCCAAUCCUUUCAAUAAUACGAAAGGGUCCAAUGUAUCUAGGAUUGAGCUUUCCUUGCUUUGCGAACCGAAUCACACCUUUCAUUAUCUAACAAGAUACCACAAUUUACUACAAUAAUAUAAUCAAAUAAGACUUAAUACCUCAAAGUAUUCAAAUCAUUACCUUUCCAAGGAGAGACCUUAAGAAAAACUCUAUCAUCAACUUCAAAUUCUAAAUCUUUUCUCCGUUUAUUCGAGUAACUUUUUUGCCUGUCUUGAGCUGUUUUUAAUCGCUCUCGGAUAACCUUGAUCUUGUCAUUAGUCAAAUCAAUCAUUUCUACAUUAAACAAUUUCCUCUCACCCAUUUCAUCCCAAUAGAGUGGAGUUCGACACUUUCUCCCAUACAAAGGCUCGUAUGGUGCCAUCACAAUACUGGACUGAAAACUAUUGUUAUAUACGAACUCCACCAACGGCAAGUGUCUAUCCCAACUCCCAGUAAAGUCAAUGACACAAGCACAUAGCAUAUCCUCCAAAGUUUGAAUGGUCUUUUUAGACUGACCAUCUGUCUAUGGAUGAAAGGUAGUGCUAAAUCUUAUAUUAGUUUCGAGAGCUUAUUGGAAUUUCGGCCAGAAUCGAGAAGUGAACCGGGGGUCUCGAUCUGACACGAUAGAACCUGGAACUCCAUGUAAUCUCACUAUCUCAUCUAUAUAAAGCUUAGCCAGUUUCUCAAUGGAAUACGUGCUAUGGAUAGCCAAGAAAUGGGCGGACUUAGUCAAUCUAUCCACAAUCAGCCAAAUAGAAUCCUUCCCACUCUGCGUUCGCGGUAAACCCAAUACAAAGUCCAUAGUCACAUGCUUCCACUUCCAUUCAGGGAUAGGUAGAGGCUGAAGAGUACCCGAUGGUUUCUGAUGUUUCGCCUUAAUUUGUUGGCAUGUGAGACAUUUUGCUACAAACUCUACUAUGUCUCGUUUCAUACCCGACCACCAGUAACUUUCCUUGAUAGUCCUAUACAUUUUGGUGCAUCCGAGAUGUAAAGCAUAGGCAGAAGAAUGAGCUUCUGCCAAAAUAGCCCGUCUCAGCUGAUCAUCUUUAGGGACACAAACCCAAUUCCCAAGCAUCAAAAUACCAUCAUCACUAAGUCUGAACUCAUUAGUUUCUCCAUUUCGCAACUUUUGUACUUCCCGUUUCAACUCAUCAUCAGACUUCUGCAAUUCUCUAAUUUGGUUCAACAAUGAGGGUCUCACAACAAAGCUAGCAAAUAGGGUUCCAUCCUCGCCAUUACUCAACUGGAUCCUUAGAGAUUUCAUCUCAAGUAAUAUAAAAAAAUAAGAAUUUCGAAGUGAUGCUAAUGAAGAUAAGGAUUUACGACUCAAGGCAUCUGCUACAACAUUUGCCUUUCCUUGAUGAUAAUCAAUUACUAAGUCGUAAUCCUUAAUCAACUCUAACCAUCAUCUCUGUCUCAAGUUGAGUUCUUUCUAGGUGAGCCAGUAUUUCAAACUUUUGUGGUUAGUAAAAAUUCGACAACGAUCACCAUAUAAGUAAUGCCUCCAGAUUUUUAAUGCAAAGACUAUUGCUGCCAACUUCAAAUCGUGGGUAGGGUAAUUCAUCUCAUGCUUCUUCAACUAUCGAGAAGCAUAAGCUAUUACUUUCUCAUCUUGCAUUAACACACACCCUAAUCUCAAUUUAGAGGCAUCACUAUAUACCACAAAUUCUUUCCCGCUAAUAGGAAGUGUCAAAACGGGAGCGGAGGUCAACCGGUUCUUUAGCUCUUGAAACUGACUCUCGUAGACAUCAUCCCACUCAAACUUGAUUCCUUUAUGAGUCAAACGAGUCAAAGGAGCAACUAUCAAUGAAAACCCUUGAACGAACCUCCUGUAAUAACCGGUUAAACCAAGAAAACUUCGAAUCUCUGUCACCAUUUUCGGUUGCUCCCACUGUAAGAUCGCCUCAAUCUUCUUGGGAUCGACAUAAAUUCCAGCUCAAAUCACAACAUGUCCCAAGAAAACCAUUUCCUUUAACCAAAACUCACAUUUGGAGAACUUGGCAUAGAGUUGUCUCUCGAGCAAGGUUUGCAGCACAAUGCGCAAAUGAGUAGCAUGUUCAUCAUCAUCCUUCGAAUACACCAAGAUAUCAUCUAUGAACACUAUCAUUAACUUAUCCAAGUACGAGUGGAACACCCUAUUCAUGAGGUCCAUAAAAACUGCCGGAGCAUUAGUCAGACCAAAAGGCAUAACCAGAAACUCAUAAUGCCCAUAACGAGUCCUGAAAGCAGUCUUGGGUACAUCCUGCUCCUUGAUCUUCAACUGAUGAUACCCAGACCUCAGAUCAAUCUUAAAAAACACCGUGGCACCCUAUAGCUGAUCAAAAAGAUCAUCAAUUCGUGGUAAAAGGUAUUUAUUCUUGAUGGUCACUCGGUUCAGUUGAUAGUAGUCGAUACAUAACCGAAGAGUGCCAUCCUUUUUCUUUACAAAUAAGACUGGUGCACCCCAGGGAGAAAUACUAGGGCGAAUAAAACCCUUAUCUACUAAUUCUUGCAGCUGGACUUUCAACUCCUUUAAUUUUGCCGGAACCAUCCGAUAUGGAGGAAUGGAAAUAGGUGCAGUACCCAAAAUUAAAUCAAUAGAGAAUUUCAACUCUCGAUCAUGAGGUAGUCUUGGUAAUUCAUCUGAAAACACAUUAGAGAACUCAUCUACUAUUAAGACAUCCUCUAACUUAGGCUCCCCCUUUGAGGUAUCAAUCACAUGUGCUAGAUAAGCUGGAUACCCUUUUUGCAAUAGUUUUAAAGCUUUGAUAGCCGAGAUUACAUAGGAUGGUAAUACUCGACGUUCCCCUGCAAAUACAACUUCUACUCCCUCAGAAUUUUGAAGUACAACUUCUUUCCUAAAAUAAUCCACUUUCACCCGAUGUGUAGUCAACUAAUCCAUACUCAAUAUCAAAUCAAAAUCCCAAAUUUCUAAGGGAAUUAAAUCAGCCUUGAAUUCUUCCUCACCAACCAUUAUUCCACAAUCUCUAUAACAAGUGUUUCUAAUCAACUGCUCUCCUAGAAGGGUAUGAACUACAAUUUCUUCCUCUAAAGGUAACAGGUUCCUAUCAGAAAAGGAUGCAAAUGUCGUGCUCACAUAAGAUCUAUCCGAACCAGAAUCAAUUAAGACAUAAGCAUCUUUGUCAAAUAUAAACAUGGUACCUGUCAUUGCACUAGGUCGAACUCGUGCCUCUUCCUCUAUCACAGCAAAAACUCUCGUCGGAGUAUGCGUCUGUGGUCUGAAGGUUGAUAUACCGAGGUAUUACUCCCCACACCAGACCGCAUCGCUACACCCUGUUUCAACUGUGACCCAGAAGAAUCUCUUCUUUGUAUAUCGAUGCGAGUCUGUAGAGAUGAAGUAGCUACAGUAACUCAUCCUAGCUAUGGACAAGCACUCUUUAUAUGACCCUGUUAACCACACUAAAAACACCGCAUGCGCUCCCACCAUGGCCCAGCAUGAAAUCUCCCACAAUUACGGCAUUUGUCAAAAUUCGCAAAACUCUUUCCAGAAGCACUCGUCGCUGAUCUACUGAAUCUAGGAGACUUUUGUUGCGACUAUUGAGAUGGGGGUCGGGUAGAUGCUAUUGAAGUAGUGGUAGCGCUCCUUGAAGUAGAUAAAUCCUUGCCCUUUUUAGAUGGCUGACUGGAUGAUGUAUUCGGAUUCCUUCUCUUAGCAAACUUAGCCCGAACCUUCCUAUUCUCAGUCACGAGCUUCUCAGCCUGUAAAGCCAUUUGCACAACCUUUUAUACGGCUCCUUACCCGUUACUAUCAUACGGUCUCUGAUUUCAUUUCGGAGCCCUUUUUCAAAGUAAUUAACCUGAUCCUGCUCAGUCUUCACCAGAUCGGGCACAUAAGACAUUAGCUCGUUAAAACGAGCCUCAUACUCCUCUAUUGUCAAACUCCCCUGUUUCAGACUCAAGAAUUCCCUCUUCUUUUUCUUUUGAUGAAAAUGAGUAUAAUACUGAUCGUCGAACUCUUAUAGAAAAUCUGACCAAGUCAGAGGAGUAGUAAAACGAGACUUCACUGAGUUCCACCAAGUACGAGCCCUCUUCUUAAGCAAUCUAGCGGCCACAAUCAAUUUCAUAUCAUCAUCUAAUUUCAUAUCUGUAAGUGUCUCUAAUACUUGAAUGAUCCAGUCUUUAGCUACGGUUGUGUCCAAAUCACCUAUAAAAGAAAUACAACCCAACUGCCUAACCUCCUUAAGUUUCUUAGAAAUCGAUACAUCGGGUACUUGUAGUGGAAUAGGAGGUGGUGAUGAUGGUGGCACUGAGCGGCCGAAGGAACAGCAAGAGAAACUUAACCAGCUUGAGCCUGGCCAAUAAUAGUAGUGAGGAAAGCUGCCAAUGCCUAAACUGCCUCAGGAGGUAUAGCAGGACUACCAGGAAUACCAGUAGGUGCUGGAGGAUGUGGAGGGUGUGGAGGAGUUUCAGUAUGUUCAGCAGCAGGUGCUGCCCAAAAAGUAGACGCAGCUAAUUCCCCUUCUAUAGGAUUUGGUUGACGAUGUUGAGAACGACCUCUUCCCCUCUCGAUUGAUCUAAAGAGAGGUGGGCGUCCACAUUGAGGAGGCAUAAUGAUCUAUAAGAAGAGACAGUACGAAUUUAGACAACUUUAGGUUCUAGAUGCAAUUGUAUGCAUUCAACUCAAUCUAAUCUAACUUGGGGCCACAUUGAUACUGUAGUUUUUUAAAAUAAGUUUAAAACUAAAAGCUCUGAUACCAAUCGAAAUGUCACGACUUGGUACUCCUUUCUAGCUCAUGACAUCCGCCGCGAUAUCUCGAAAGACAUCCAUUACCCGGAAUGUCAACCAAAACCUCGCAAGGCCCUCACAUCAAUUUUACAUCUCCUCUAUGAGCAAUAGUUACUAAAUAUCAUGUUUUAAGGGAAUAUAAACUAUUUUUAAGUCAAAACAAACAAAAAAAUAAUUUUUUUCACAUAGGGGUAUUUGGGUCAUUUUUACCCGAAAAUUUUGAAACUUGGUAAAAAUACAACAUACGAUCGAAAAUAUACAUUUCUUAUUUAAAAAUAAUUUUAAUAAUCUAAUUUAUCCAUUUAAAAUAAAAUUUUGGCUAAUCAAACUAAAUAAAAAUAUUAAAUAAAAUAUUCUAUUUUCUUAUAAAACAAUAUUUAUAGAACUCUGCAUAAAUAAUUUUUAUAGCGUAAAAGAAAAAUAAAUUCAUACAUACAGUGGCACACGUAGCCAGGUAUACAAAAUAUUUUACAAUGACAUGUGGGCCCCCAAAAUAAACAAAUAUGUACAAGAAGGUCGACCUUUGAUUUCUAAUGAUGUAAAUCUUAAAGUAGAUCAUCGACGAAAUUAGCUAUCUACAGAUUAUCCUUAGGAGUCACUUAAAAGCUCGAGGGGUCCAAUAACAAGAGGCCGUCAUCGAAGAAUGAAGAUCGCAUUUUACAAUAGUAAUACUUGCAUGUGUACACUAAUUAAUGGAAAAACAUAUGGGACUUUACAUACUACCACAUGUUGCAAUGUGUAGAUUCCAGAACUAGAUCGCAAAACAAAUAUAGAAGUUACCACGAAACGUUUUUGAGUAGGUGUGAUUGGCCACUCAAUUAAAUCUAUGUUUUCUAAUAGAAAUCCUAAGUUCAAUUUAAAUUCAUGACAAAAGAUAGAUUCUGGAUUUCAAACAAAAUUAAGGUUUAGGAGUACGAUUAUACACAAGGAAGAUAUUAGCAAUACCCUAUCAGUGCUUGCUCAAAUAAUGUUAUCAACUAAUCACUUGUUAUCCUAUUAUAACAUUGAUAGGAUUGUCCUUAAUUUCAUAUUUGAUUAGUCUCUUUAUUAUUAUUAUUAUUAUUAUUAUGAUUAUUAUGAUUAUUAUUUUCCUUUUCUUUAUAUUGAUAAUGUAUGCCUCAUAAGCCAAUGCGUUGGGUAUAGAGUUAUUUUAAGCAUUACAUUAAUUAAUAAAAGCUUUUCUUUAUCUUAUCCAUGGAAUAAUACAUGCUUUGCAAAGAAAAUUAUAAAGUUUUAUAAAUUUGAGAUCCUUAUUGCAUCAAAGCAUUAUUCCUAAACGUUCUUAGUCAAUGCUAUAAAGAGUUUGGACAUUGAUAAAGCUAAGAGACUAGUACAUGGUUAUGUUCCUCAUUUGUGAAAUGAGCAAUCGAUCUCAUAGAUUGAUGUAUAUGGAUACUUGAACUAACAUACGGUGCUUGUUGUAUAAACAAAUUCAUUAAACAUGACCCACAUUGGGAAUUUCAUUUGUUAUGACACUCUUAUGUGAGAGUUGUGUAAAUAAUUCUUAGAUGUGAGAUUAUUAGGUUGCCUUGUAAAAGGAUUGCUAUAUUUUGAUACUAUCUUAAGCGGUCCCAAUCAAGGAUACAUAAUAAGUUGGACAUUGAGUAAAGCAUGAAAGAUAUGGAGGUAGAAAAAUGGCCAAUAAAGGAUUCGUCACUUUAAGUAAUAUUAAAGGGAAUAUUCUACUACAUCUUGAUAUGUAAUAAUUCUAGAGAAUUUGUGGCUAAGGCAGAAUGAGGGUUAGGAGAAAAUUUUUUCAAAUCUCAUUAAAAGAGUAGAUUAUAAAUAUCAAAAGCUAACAUGGUAAACAUAACAAUGAAUAGACACCAGCUGUGCUCUAUGUCUUGCUAAGAUAUCAGAUUAAUGAAAAUAUAUUAAUUACAAAGUAAGACUGUGCAUUAAAGUGUGACACCUUGACUUGGAUACGAACUAUAUAUGUUGUUGCCUAAGUUGUUUUAUGGCUUGGGUGACCUAUGUGAUGAUUUUCUAUAAGAUUUGAAUAUAUGUACAUAAUAUGUGAAAAAAUGACCAUGUGUUAAGGACUUAAUGAAUGAUGAAAAGUUAUGUUAUCAAUGAGAUUAAGAUCUUGAGCUAUGUGUUGAUAUACCUUGACUUUGAAUAUUGGUUAAUGUAGUCCAUACUAGCUGCAUUGAGAUGAAUGUUGAAAUAGGAAAUGGUUUGGGAGUUUUAGAUUUAGAGUUAGGCAACUAAUAAUGUUAAAAUUUACAUUCUGGAGCAAAUGUAUAGAUAGAUUCAAUGAUCUAUCAAUACAUUCUUGGGAAAAAUCUUUUGGGAAGCAUUCUGUAAGAAAACUAUCGAUAGAUUCGAGGAUGUAUCAAUAGAUUUGAGGUGGGAGACAUUCUGUUGAAAUUAUUUCAAUAGAAUCACCACUAGUAUUGAUAGAUUUUGGAAAGGGGACAUUCUAUGAAAAAUGUAUUGAUAGAUUUCCCCAAUUUAUCAAUACAUUUCAAGUAGAGAGCAUUUUAUUUAAUUUCUAUCGUUACAUUAACACAUGUAUUAAUAGCUUCUAGGAAAAUUCGCAACAAUGUUUUGAUAGAUUCACCAAUCUAUUGAUACAUGCCUCUAGAAUGACAAAAAUAUAUAAGUUUUAAUCAUUUCAUCCAUUUGGAAAAACAAAACGGAAGAAGUUUUCCCCUAUUGCCAUUGAAACCUUCAGAUCCCUUUAAUAAAUUAGAGCUAAUUUAGAAGAUUUGGAAGCUUGGAAAUUCAUACUUGAGGUAAGAUUAAACCUCCUACCACCUUGAACUACAUUUUAAUUGGUUCAAAAAUGAGAAUUUGUUUAUGGUUUCAGCUCAAUUGGUCUUCCUCUUGAGCUACUAGAAUUUUGGUGUUUUGGAAGGUUUGAAUCAACACUAAGUUAAGGUUUUAAGGCAUUUUAAUCUUGGAAUCUAAAACUAGCAUGUGUUAAGAUGGGUACUGGAAAGUUAAGCUAGUUUAAAAUGUUGCCGAUUUUACACACACAAGUAUACCUAUCAAAUAAGUAAUUUAGACAGUAAGUCCAAAAUCGUAUUCUACACAGAUUUGCUCCUAAUUAUUCAUUAAAUACUAAAAUUAUGGUAGAUCAAUCUUAUUCAAGUAACUCGAUUUUAUGGAAAAUUAAUUAAUACUAAAUUAAAUCAAAUACUAAACUAAUUAACAAAAACUAAACAUUCACUGGAGAAAGGCAAUAGAUUAAAACCUAGGAGUAUGGGUUCAUUUAACACUUCAUCUAAUAUCAGCUUCUUUUAUUAUUUAUAUUCAUGGGUGGUUUUACUAACCUAGAAUCCAAAGUUAUGUACAAGUUUCAGUCGAGAUGCUUGUACAAAUAGCUGACUUAAUUGGGUCACUAUAUGUCUAUAGUAAUCAAUUAAAUAAAGUUCAUUAAGUGAUAACUCUCUAACAUUGGGUUAUUUGGGCUUAAUUUUGAUAGUAAUUUAACUUAGUUUUUGUAGUAAUGCAUAGAAAUUAAUAAGUUUUAUUUAAAUUAUUUUAAAUUAGUUAAUUUAGGUGAGUCAACCUAAUCUUAGUUAAUUUUAUGCUUAAUUUGGUAUUAAUGUGAUUAAGAUAGGUUGUUAUUGAUUUAGUUGUGCUUUUGUAAGUGUUUAAUGAAGGAAGACUUUUAAUGAAAGAAGGAAAGCAAUUUCAAGGUGUAGACUUUUACUACACAUGUUUUGGUAUUUUGAUAAUAAAUCUCUCUACAAAAAUCUAAAUGAUAUGAUUCUUUGACCAUUGGAAAGCUAAGAGAAAAAUAUACAACUUUCAUAUUUACUACCUUACCCAGUUCAGCAUAAAAAGUGGUCAAAAAUCUUGUCAAAGUUGAAGUAUUGCAAUAGUUCUAGAGCAAUUACCAUUUCUACUAAUUAAUUGGUCGAGAUCGCGGCCUACAUAGUUUGAUGAGGAAUUCCUUAUUAGAAUUGACUUCUUUCUUCACCUAACUUGGCCUAACUUCAAAACCCUAUAAAAACAACAUUUCGGAAGACUUUUAGGAGAAAAACGAAACACCAAAUUUAGAGUUGACAUUCAAGCCACAAAAUUGUCGAAAAAAAAAAUCUCAUUGAAGUUGAAAAGAAAUUGAAAGAUUUAAGAAGAUUUGGAGAUUAAGAGUUUCACUCUUGGAGUUUCGUUAUUCUUAUUUUUCUUGGUUUAGUUUCUAUGUUUAAACUUAUUUUGAUGAUAAUGUGUGACUUGAUGGGGAACUAAAUUAUUUAUCUAAUAUUAUGAUUAAACUCAAUAUGUAGUCUGAUUUAUUUAUCUCUCUUUUACUUUUGUUUGAUGGAUUUAGGUUGUUUAUUUGAUUCUGUUCUUAAUGCUUCUAGUUGGCUAAUUACCAAUUAGAUUAAAUUGGAAACCUAGAUUAAACCUUAACGAAGGAGAUUUAGGUAAAUCUAGAAUAAAAUAGCGUAUGAUCAAAUACUUAGUUGAUUAGGUGAUUUGAUUUGCAUAUAAGGUAGGCAUACACCUAGAAGUCAUAUGUAACCAAAAUUAAAGCACGAAAUUAAUGAAUCUUUUUUCAAUUUAAUUUGCAUAGACAUAUAUUAAGUUAAUUGGGAGAUAUAUUUUUAUAAGAAACUUGACAAAGACUUAUAAAUAAAUUAGGAUUCUAGGUUAACAACUUGAUCCAUUAAAUUAAGUUAAGAGAGAGACAAUAAUCGGAAGAAGUAUUGAGGGAUAUAAUAAUCUUAGGUCUGAUAGUCAUUCGAAUUUAGUAAAAUAAUUUUGCUAAUAGAUUUUACAUUAGUUUUAGUUAUUAGUUUCAAUUUUUCUUUUUAAUAAUUAGGUUGUUUGGAUAAGAUUAGUGUUAUAAUUUUAGUAGUUAACAGUUAGGAAUUAAAUUAAUUCUUCAUGGGAACGAAUUCUACUUUCUAUUAUAUUACUUGUUAACGAUAUAUGCACAUGUGUGAGAAAUCAACAACAUUAAGCUAAUGUUUUAAUUUGGUUAGAUAUAGCAAUUGACGUAUGUCUACUUGAAUCGCAAAGCAGAUCACCUAAGUGACAUGAACAUGCACUAUUCAAAUCUUAGUUCAAUUUAAAAUCUCUCUAUCGAGUCUCAAUUAGAUUCACAAAUUAGUUAAUUAUUGGCUAGACAAUCAAAAGCAUUAAAAGCAAAUUUGAAUAAGCAGAAUUAUACCCAUUCAUAGAAAAUAAAAGAAAAACAAAUAUUCAAAUUACAUGUUGAAAUCCACCACAACCUAGAAAAAUAGUUUAGCUCAUAAUAUCUAAUAAAAACUUCAUCCAAAGAAAAUUAGCCAUUAAUCCAAGUUUAAGAAAAUAAGAAAAACACAAAAUUAGAGAGAGAAAACUAAUAGUUGAAGCUUUGUGAUUUUGAUUCUCCCUCAAAUUCUCUUGCUUUCUUGCUUUGUUUUUGGCUCUUUUUCUCCAAAGAAAUUGCUUGUUGCCUCUUCCUAAAAACCUCUAAAAACGGCUCCUUAAAUAGCCUUCAAAAGCCCUAACUUCCAAAAUCCCUAGGAUGUUUAUUUUUGAAAAAUUCCCCGAGCGCUGUGGCUCUCAUUCUUUAGAGCCACGACUCUCAAGGGUUUUAUCUUGACUUUUGCUCUUCUGGUGCAGUAUUUCCACUUUAAUAAGGAUUUCGACCAUCUUCCAUCAAAAAUGAGAAAAGUAGUAAACAUUAAAGUUUUAGCACUGCCUCUUAGCUUUCCAAUGGUCUAUGAAUCAUGUCAUUUGAACUUAUGUAGCGAGAGUUAUCUCCAAAAAACUAAAACAUGUGUAGACAAAACACCAGUCCAUUAUGUACCUUUCUUCACCAAUUGAAGUUAUUUUCGAUUCUACUGCCACAAAAAAAUAAAAUUAAACAUAAAUAAUAGAAAACCUACAUUAUUAACUUAAAAUAAACAUAUAACCAUAAAUUAAACUAAACUAAUAAAAUAACUAAAAAUACCUAAAUCCGAUCCUAAAUCUAGUCUAACUUAAGCUAAUUAGGUAUUUAAUCUCUCAUUAAAUAUAUGUAUUUGAUGCACACAUCAUAAAGUGCUGGAAAUUGUUUGAAACACUAAGGGUUUAUAAUUUUUUUACAAGGGGAAAAUGAAGUUACAAUAGCAUUAUGAACCUGGAAAUCUGUUGAAGAUGAGUAAAGCUUGAGUUUAGUUGUUGGAAAUAGUGAAUUAUCACUAUGAGUAGGGUAUUAUUUAAAUGUUAAGGUGAUGUAUAUAUGCAUAAAUAUAUGUAUGUGUGUUGCCAUCGGAUAUCUAUAGUUGAUAAAAUGCCUAGAUGAACUAUGCCUAGGCCAACGAGUCAACAUGAACUAUUUCAUAGCAAUGUUAACAAAAAAUUAUGUUUGAUAUUAAAUGAGCCACCUAAUGGCGAUUGUGUUUGGCUGUAUUUGUAUUGUAGACUACGACUUGUUGACCAUGCCUAUUUGCUUGCACAAACUCAUUGUUGCUACUCAUGUAUUAUGAUUAUAUGUGUGUAUUAUUGCUUAUGCGUAUUUGCUACUUCUCGAGAACUAUAGAACUGGAAUUGCGAAAGUUAAUGAGCUGUAUUUAAUAGUUUUGCAUGGAUAAUGCCAAUUGAAUAUGAAAAUGAUUCUGCACAUGUGAUGUCAACAUGAAUGCUAAGGUUGAUACGGUUCUGUCUAAUGAGUGCAUUAUGGACGAUGACAUGGUAUAGUAAGAAGGUGUCAUGGCCUUGUGGUCUCGUUUACUGUCAAGAAUUUCGACCUUAUACAUGUCUUGUUUACCCCGAAGGAUCUUUCUCUUGUUUCCAUCUUGAUGACAACUCAUGUUUACUGGAAAGUACUAGUAAGUAUACCAUGCACUUGUAUACUCUAAUGAGUCUUGAUGAAUGUGGUAAGUAUGUGGAAAUAUUGGAUUAUGCUUAACAGAGGGUAAGCCGCUUAAAUGAGCAUUUGCGUACUCUGAGGAGUCUUGAUUAAUUAUUAUGCAUAUGCAUAUUUAUAAUGGCAUAUCUUGUACUAUAGGAUUUAAACAAUAUACCUCUGUUAUGCUUGUUUAUUUUCCACCCACUCACUAAGUUAAUAGAGACUUGCCCCAAUGUUUGUUGCCAUGUGCAAAUACAAAGCUUGUGGGAUUCCUAUGCAGGAAGCGAGUGGCUAAUGUUUGUCAGUUAGAUCAACUUUUUUGGCAUCUAAUAGGAAUCUUGAUGUAGAGUCCACUUUGCUGAUUUUGGUAUUUAAGUUUGUUGUUUUGGAUAUGGCAUUUAUGAUGCCACUCUAAUGUAUAAACUAUGGUUUAUUUUGUACGGGUUUGGACCCACUAUGUUAACCAACAUAUGACUCUUGUAAUAGUACAUGGAUGUACUCUUAAUGGAUUUAUGUUAAGGGUAGCUUGUUAAAACUAUACUUGGACUUAUUGUAUAAAAUGCUCCAGUUUGGUUUGAAAAUUCUCUUAAUGAGUCUAUUGAUCUACACGAACUAUUUAAGGCUUGCUCAAGAAUCAUGGGCUUCACCCACGUGACUUGUGUGCUGGUCACGGCCCACUGGUUUGGGUCGUGUGUCAAGCCUUACUCCAUUAUAUACUCAUCACAACAUCCAUAUACUUGAUGGCACAUCUGCAUGUUAGAAUGCCUUAGAAAUAGUUAAAUAAUCGGUAUCGUAACUAGUUAUGCAACUAAGUUAAUUUAAAGCCUCGAACUAGUUCAAAUAGAAAUUUUAAGAUGAAAUUGAGAAUUUUAAAACCCCAUAAUGACUUAAUAUGGUGAUUCGGAUUUCGAGGAUUAAAUUGGAGUCAAUUAGGAAUUUUCAUACCAUACGGGCAAAAUGGUAAUUUUGCCACCCGAGGGCAAAUUUGGAAAGUUGGUUGAAAAUUUUGAUCAAGUUUGACCAAUUGGAGUAUAAUUUGAGAUUGAGAAGUGAAAAAAAUUCAAUUUCGAGCAUAAGGGCAAAAAUGUUAUUUUUCGGGUCCACAAGGGCAAAAUUGAAAUUUUACGAUUUUUCACGACCAUGACAUAUGUCAAGCUCCAUAAUUUUACCUAUUAUUAUUUUAUGCUAUGGAUAAGUAUUGGAGCAUUUGUGGUGGUGAGAAAAGGCUUAAAAAUUAAGUUAAAACAAGCGGACCAAUAAAAAGGUGACAUGUGUCAAAAAUUAAAUAUUUUUAUAUUGCCAUUUAAAAACCAGCCCAUACUCUUCCACUCAUAAUUUGAAGGCCGACCAGCACCUACUGAAAAGAGAAGAAAAGAAAAGAAAAACCCUAGGGAGGAAAAACUAAGGAAAAUUUGUUGAAUUUUCAAGAAAUUGGUGACUAAAGGUAAGAUUUUUAAUCUUAAGCUUGAAAUUCAUCUUGCCCAUGCAUUCUUUUCCAUUUUCCAUGAAUUAAAUUCAAGUUUUCAUGAGGGGCAAUAUGCUGGCCAAAUUUAGAGAGAGAAAGUUGGUGAUGAAUUUAGUUGAAUUUCAAGGUAACUUAGUGUUUUUAGGUGUUUAGUAACAUUUAGUAUGAAAAUUAAGUAAGAAAUCCACAUGCCCAUUAUAGAACCUAUCUUGGCCGAAUUUUAUGGGUGAGGUUUGAUGAUGAAUUUGGUUGCUUUUCAUGCCCUUUAGAUUGUAUUUGGUGCUUAGGAAUAUCGAAAAUCGAAAACGGGUACCGAAAAAUUUUACUCCUGUUAGUUAACAAUUUGCACAAUAAUGAGGGAUAUUUUGGUAAUUGCACUUAGAAUAGAUUUUUAUUGAAGUGUGUGGAAUUUUGGGGACUACUAGAAGUGCAAUAAAUUAAUUGGAAUUGAAUUGGACGUUUAGACCUAUUAAAUAGUGUAUAGUGCGCAAUAGGCUGAACACCUCCCAUUUCAUUGCAUGCAUUCAUAUGGAACAUAGAAUAGUUUUGUGACAAUUUAGCAUAAGUAUAUUAAAUUUUCUGUUGCACAUUAUGUAUAGGUGGUGAGCCCUCGGAUAAGGGCAAAGGUAUUGCACCCGAGGAUCGAGACUAGAAGUGUUGUAAAUUCUCGUCAAAGUGAGUAACCACUGUUCAUCUUAUUUAUUUAGAGUAUUUUUACAAUCAUUUUUAUGAUUUUAAGAAUAUUGAGCCUAAAUGAAUUUUAUGUUUUAUGACUAAUAAUCAAUUUAAGGAAUAAGGUUUAUGAUUUAUUUUACAAUUUAAUAAUGUUUUUGAAAAUGUGAGUAUGUGGAGACCAACCUUUGAUAUUGCCUAUAUAUUUAAGUUUACGUACCUAUGUUUGGAAUUGAUGAUUUAUGAAUUGAUAUGUGAUGACAUAUGUGGCUGGGUUUUUGGUUUGUGAAAUAUAUUAAACUGUUUGUUUUCCUUUGAUAGGUUGGGUAGUAUUAUGUUAGCCACGUUAUGCUGUCAAAAUUUAUUGAUUGGUGGGUUAUUUAAUUAGCCACUGCAGUAGGCGGGUUUUCGUAGACCAGCCUAUUAGAGGGGCAUGGUAAACCCCGUUAUAUUUACCUUAGUAUGAGAAGCGCGAAGGAUAUCUCCUAAGGUACAAUAGAGUUCACUUCACGCCGAACCACCACUUGAGGAUGAACUUUGCCAACGCCAAGAGAUGGCUAAACUAUGUUUUUAUGAGUAGUUGUUAACUUAAUAACCUUGGCGGACUCGAUUGAAUGCCUCGGCUAAGGUAUCACCGAGUAUGAUUUUUGGAACGAGCCAAGUUUUUAAGAAAAUCAUAAAUCGUGAUGCGUAUUAUAAUGAAAUGUGUUGUUUUAUGUGAUUUGAAACAAAUACAAAAUGUUGUGGAUUAUGGUAUGAUGAAAAGUUAACUGUCUCCAUUUACUCGGCUUUAGAAGUUAAUGACAGACUUUGUUUACUCACUGAGUUUAUGAAAACUCACCCUUUCUUUUUAACCAUUUCAGGUUCAGGAUAAUCUGUAGGCAGUUGAUUUCAUUAAGGAUUUCUUUUGGACUUACUUUCUUCGAAAUCGUAGGUCUACAUUCUUGCACACUUUUGGUUAUCUCGGGGUCCAUAUGCCACUGUAGGAUAAUUUUGAGUACAUGGUUUACUGUAUCACUAUGUGUAUGAAUUUAUUUUGUACUUACACUACAAAAAUUAUUUAUGCAUAGUUCUAUAAAAAAUUAUUUUAUAAGAAAAUGGAAUAUAUUAUCGAAUAUUUUUAUUUAGUCUAAUUAGCCAACUUUUCACUCCAAAUGGAUGAUUUAGAUUACAAAAAAUUAUUUUUGAUCGAAAAUGGAUAUCUUUCUACCAUAUGAUGUAUUUUUAUCAGGUUUCGAAAUUUUCAAGUAAAAAUGACCAAAAUACACCUGUGUGGUGAAAAUUUUAUUUUGAUUAUUUUUUAUCUAAAAUAGUUUAUAUUCUCUUAAAACUCGAUAUUUAGUAACUAUUGCUCAUAGGGGAAGUGGAAAACUGAUGCAAGAGCCUUGCGAGAUUUCGGUUAACAUUCCGGGUAAUGAAUGUCUAUUGAGACUUCACGGCGGUUGUCACUGGCUUGAAGGGAUUGCCAAGUCGUGACAUCGUGACAUAAAAGUUGAGUCAACUAUAGUUCUUCUUAAUAUUUGGGUAGUCAUGUGCAUUGGUAGAUGAUAAUUUUGACUUACAAAUAUGGAUUAAUCAAUUUGAAUUUGAUAACGAGUAUAAAGGAGUCUGAUUACUCUUUUUUUUAAAAUAAAAAGACAAAAAAGAGAUUGAUUGCUUAUAAUUAUAAUUUAUAUUUCUUACCAUCAUAUUAAGAAUCUAAUAGGUCACACAAAUUAAGAAUGAUUUAGUGACAAAGUAAAGUGGGAAAAUUAUGUUGGACUUAAUUACAUGGAAGUUAUGAACUUCAAGAAUUUAUUGAAAUACUCAAUUAAAUUAUUGGGGCUAUCACAACAUGGUAAAAUUUAAAAAGUCCCCUUAAAAUAUUUCAAAAGGACACUUUGGUACCUCUUGUUUCAAAAUGAUGUUUUUGGUCCCUUAAUUGUUAAUACCUUAGUCAACAGUUAACAAAAUUAGACCAAAUACUAUAUAAAUAUUUUAAGACGUACAUACUCCUUAUAUAAUUUUUUUUAAUUUAAGCAUAUUCUCUUUGUAAAAAAAUCUACUCAUCAUUCCCUCAAAAACAUUAAUAAAAAAAUCUUAAGAAAUUUCUAUUUAAAGAUCUGAAAAUUUGAAGCUGUUUUUGCCUUAAAAACUAUAAACUUCUUUUUUGAGCUAAAGUCUAUUGUCAUCAAAUUCUUAAUUUUUUAAUAGCUUGAGAUUUUUUUUUGUUAAAAAGAAUGUAUUAAAGUAAAUUUUUUGCUUAAUAAUGGAUAUUUCAAAUUUAAUGGUGUCGAGCCAAGAGUUUAAUUUCUUAUUCGUAAUUAUUAAUUUUAUUGAAAUUUUUUUGUCUAAAAUUUGUUCAUUGAGACUAAGUUUUAGGGUGACAUAAAAAGAUUUUGACUUGAUUACUAUAUAUCCAAAGUUUUAAAUUUUUCUCUUUUUUGUCAAAUAUUGAAUUUUAUUAAGCCUCAAAGUGAGGCAAACUACUACAUUCAUAAAUUUUGUCCUAGGAUUUUAUUAAGUUUUAAGUUUUUUUCUUCUCAGUCAAAAAUUGAAUUUUAUUAAGUAUCAAAGUGAAUUUUAUUAAGUUUAGGAAGGAAACAAAAGCAUGUUUUUUUAAAGAGGGUAUUUGUGUUUUAAAAUAUUUAUGUAAUAUUGGAUAUAAAUUUUUUUAACUGUUAACGAAUAGUGUUAAUAAUUAAGGGACCAAAAACAUCAUGUUUAAACAAGAAGGAUCAAAGUGUCAUUUUGAAGUGUUUUGAAGGGGUUUUAUGGAUUUUACCUAUCGCAACAUGCAAGUUUGGGAACCAAACCAAUAUUCAUCCUAAAUAGGAAUCCCCCACCAAUGUUCUUUUUCAAGGUGUAUUUCGUCACCAAAUUGAAUUUAUCAUUUUCUAUGAAACCCUAAAUCCCCCACCAAUCUUCUUUUUCAAGGUGUUUCGUCACCAGAUUGAAUUUAUCAUUUUUGAUGAAACCCUAAGUUUGAUUUAGGUUCAUUUAAAAAAUAUAAGUUUCAGUCUAUGAAUAAAUUUGGGUUUGAGAGUAUGGUUACGUGUGAGGAAGGUAUUAGCAUUUUGUAGCAUUCGUUCAAAGAAUAGUACCAAUUAAUCACACGUUAUGUUGUUUUAUCCUUAACAAAUAGUCCUUAACUUCAUAUUUAAUUUUGUUUCCCAUAAUUAUUAUUUUUUUCUUGUAAUUUUUUCUUUCCUUUCUUUCCUAAGUUUUUCCAAUAGUUUUAGUGAGAGCAUCCUCACCUCAAGAGUAUUCAAGAAAAUCACUUAUUUCUUGAAGAGGCUCCAUUUUUGCAUUAAUUGGUAUUUUAUGAAAAGGUUAGAAUUAAAUCUUUUAUCCUUUCGUGUUUAUCUUUAUUAUAUUUUCUCUUUUUCUUUUUUUUCCUUUUUUAUUAAAUUUUUUAUACUUGUUAUUUUUCUUUCUCUUUUUUAUUUCUUAUCUUUCCUUAAAAAUAAAUGAGAACCCUCAAUAUUGGAAAAUUUUCUAAAUUCUUCAACACUUUUGGUGCAGAAUUUUAAAAAUCACCCAAAAAUUUUCAAUAAAAUUAUCACUUACAAAUUUCUUAAAAUUUUAUCAUCAAUUGAUUUUCAUUUGCUUGUAUAGUUAAAACUAAAUAGAUAUGUGCAAAGCAGACAAAUAUAAUGAUGAAUUUUGCAAAUUAUGAACAAAUUUAAAAACAAAUAUUUAAAAUUUCUAAAGACGUAAGUUAUAAGAUAAGUUCUAUAUAGGUUUCGGAAGUUUAUAAAAUAUAAUUCUUAUAUCACUGUGUUGCACACGUCUUCAAAAGUGUGGCAUAAACCACUGUCUUAGAAAUUACUGCACAUGCGCGCGUAAGUCUUGAAAUAUUUAUUUUAAUUUUAAAACAAAUUUUAUGAAAAUAAAUAAAACAAUAUUAUGGUUGAUUUUCUGGUGAAGGCUGUCCAAAACACACCUCCUAGGUGCAAGUUGGUUUUAGUUUUUCAAGCAAAAAGUAUUUUCUCUUGAAAUGACACGUGCAAGCCACGUGCCACUUUCCAUGUCAUUGUUUUACGCUUUUUUAAUGUCAAAAACUUUCUCUAAGAGAGUAGAGUCUAUUGUGAUGGUGAACGUGCUAAUCAAAAUAUGUGAUAGAAAGCACGCGCCGAACCAAGGGUGGAGACUGCAUUUCAUCUUUCAACUCUAGAUUUUCUUUUUCUUUUUCAUUUUAGUUUCUAAUUUUUUUUCUUUACUAAAUUGAUGAUGCAAAUAAUUAUAUACUAAUGGAAAGGUUGUCGAGGAAGGAAUAAAAAUUAUGCGUAAAAAAUAUUUAAGAGAGAUAAAUAGCCAACAAAGUUUGGGGUCUAACAACUAGGGUUUCAUUUUUUUCAUAUUUACUCAUUACAUAAUAUUCAAAACUUUCAAAUAUUUGUAUGCAUAUAUGAGGAUCAUACCAUGAAAAAUCAAACUCUAGAAUAUGUUUUUUUUACAAUUGUCAUGAUGUCAUAAAAGCUUCAAAAACUAGAUAAUCAUAAAAUAUAGACAUAAUCAAUGAUUUCUAUCAUGUCAGUCAUGGCAUUUAGAGACCAUAACUGCACCAAAACACAUGAAUAAGUUGUGAUAUAAAUGUAAACAAACAUGGAUGUAAUGAAAGUUCAGAAAAAUCUUAGUAUCUAUGAUCUAAUAUGUAUUAGUAUCUCUAACAUUUUGAUUAUGAAUAUUUUACGUGCCUAUUGAUCUCUUAAAACUUGUGGUGAAAAACUACUACAAACACAAGCAAGGACAACCUUUGCUUAGUGUGAAAGGCUUAGCUUGAUAAUGGAAGGAAGGUGGUUUUUCAAGGUAAUUAUUCUUUUAAUUUUUCUGACUAUUUGUGAUUAUAUUUUGAUGAAAAGUCUCAACUUACUUAUAGAACCCUUUUUGUGGUAACAAUAAAUUUAUAGAUAAUCUUAAUGUAUAUAAUUAUCAUACAAUUAUUCAAAUAACUUACUUUACCAAGACAAAGAAAGGAUAAUAUACUUUUGUCUUAGUAUACUUUAUUAGAGUCUUAGGUUUUUUUUUUUCUCUGAGAAAAAAUAUACUUUUUAUUUCUUCAAUCUUUUUCUUCAAUUGUCUUUAUGUUUCUGCAUCAAUAGCAUUAGUACGAGAUAGACCUACUUAAUCUUCAUACACAAAACUAAAACAUGGCAUGAAUCUAGACUAAAAUUCCAAAUGCAUGAUGCGACACUUUUUACAUUCCUACAUGCAGACAAGUUGGCUUUGAAGAGGUUUUGAGAGUAAAGUUUCUAGUAAAAUAAGAUGAACUCAAAAACAGAGAGAAAAGCUUGAGUCAAUAGAGAAUACUCAAAUUUUGGGGAAAAACUCACGACGGUUAUUUUCAUUAAGGUUUAUAUAUCCAUGCUAAACAUACUAGGCUCUAUAGAUUUAACCUUGGUUAAUGUGAAAAAUCAAAAUAGUCAGUUAAGCACAAAAAACGAUGACAUUGUUUUCUGUGCUUUGCAAUGGUAGCAACAACAUGGUUGUUAAGCCUUACAUUUGACUCAAAAUGACAACACUAUUAUGCGUAAAAGGAAGAAACAACAAACAAGAUUGAAACGGCAAAGCAUGAUACCGUAUGACAUUAAGUAAAAAUCAUAAGUGAAACAACAUAGAGACAGCCGUUUAGGCACUAUAAUUUGGUAAAGUAAAACGCAAAACUACACCGUUUCUUAGACUUAGUUCUUUAGGUUUCAAACUAUCGUUGAUUCCUGCCAUUCUUCAUCUCUUUCACUUUCAGUGAAAAUAUUAAAUCUUCAACACUUCCCCAAAAUCUUUGAUCUGAAACACCCCCAAGAAAGAUGUCAAAUAUCCGAACCUCUUUCUACCCAGACUCUUAGUGAUAAUAUCAUUAAGUUGUUCACCAAUAGGAUAGUAUUGUAGAGUGAUUUCAUUCUCCUUUACUAUAACUCUCAAAGCAUGGUAUUUGACCCUUAUAUGCUUCAUCAUACCAUGUUGAAUAGGAUUUUUGGCAAAAAUCAUAGUGCCAUUCUCAUGCCUAAACUUUAAAUCCUUUAACACCUUUCUCAGUAGCAGCACAUGAUUAACAGCAAUAACAGUUGCAAAUACUCAACCUCAGUUGAUGAUUGUGUCACCAUUUGUUGUUUCUUAGAAUUCCAUGUAAACACAGCACUACCAAAAAAAGAAACAAUAUCCAUAUGUACUUUGGAAUCAUUUAAGGUGUCAAACCCUGUUUUAUAAAAUAAUUACGACGUCAUUUACAUACUCAAUAGAAUGUUUGCAUAUUUAGGAAGUUCGAGAAAUCGUUAAAAGAUGAUAUUGCCCCUAAUAGUACCAUUAAGUCGAUUCAGUCUCGAACUAGUUCAAAUAGGAAUUUUAAGGUGAAAUUAAGACUUUCAAAGUUCAGGGAUGACUCAAAAUGGUAAUUCGGAGUUCGAGGAUCAAUUUGGAGUCAAAUCGAAAUUUUCACUAUCUAGGGGUAAAAUGGUCAUUUGCCACUUGGGGACAAAAUGGAAAUUUUUAGAAAAGAUUUUUUGGCCCCAUUUAACUUAUUGGAGUAUAAUUUGAGGGUUUGGCAGUGAAAAAGUUUAUUUCCGGUGAUUUCUCGAGUGUAUGGGGUAAAAUCGUAAUUUUUCCACUCGCGGAUAAAUUUUGAGAUUUUGAGAGAAUUUAGAUCACAUUUGACAAAUUGGAGAAUGGUAUGAGUAUAAGGGAUGAAAAAUAUGUCUAUAAGCGAUUUUUCAGUUUUUUGGGUAAAAAUGUAAUUUUCAAAAAUUACUCCACCAAAACUUUGGAUAAGUCUGAGAAUUUUAUCUAAGCUAUGGAUAUGUGGGACAAGUGUAUGGUGAAAAUUUGGAAACAAAUGGAUGGCUAGAAUUUAAGAAAUUAAUAAAACAAAAAAAAGAAUAAAAUAAUAUUAUAUUAUUUAGCCUUUAAAAAGGCCAAAAUUUCCAGAAUUCUCAUCUUCUUCAAGCUGUCCAAACCAGGAGAGAAAAGGGGGAAAAGAAAUAACAGCCCUAGCUAAAAAUUUUGGGGAAAAUCAAGAGAAAUCAAGAAAUCAAGCAUUAAAAAGGUAAAUUUCAUUGAUUUUCCUUGUGAUUUUCACUACCCAUGCAUUUUUUCUCAUUUCCAUGCAAAAUUAGAAAGUGGAUAUGGACACCCAUGCUGGCCAAACCUCCAUGGAUGAGUUUUGAGCUUGAGUUUUGGUUGAUUUUAAUUGAAUUAAGUGAUUUUAGUUAGGUUAUAUUGAAAUAUAGCAAAAAUAAGCUAGAGAAAUAAUUUUCUCCCAUUGAAACCCAUUAUGCCGAAUUUUCUAGGGGAAUAUUGGCUGCUGAUCUUGAUGUUUAUUUGAUGAAUUAUGAUGAAUAAUGAUGAAUUAUGAGCCUAGAAAAAUAAUGAGAAUUUUCGGAACAAAAAUAUGAAUUUUUACCCACUAGGGGUAUUUUCGUAAUUUGUUAUCGAGACUGAUAAUUUGCACCACACUGAGGAACAUUAAGUCAAUUUGGGUGCAAUUGAGGUAUAGAAACUGAAAAAAAUUAAUUUGGGAUUAAAUUGGACGGGUUAGUAAUUUAAUCGAGUAAUAGGUCGAAUUAGGUCAGCAUCGCAUUUAAAUGGUAGUCGGAUAAGUUGCAUGUCAUAUCAUGCAUAUACACCGAGCCUGAAUUGAUUUUAUAAUGGUCAAGCAUUAAUGUGGUAAAUUAUGUAUUGUACAUUAUGGAUAGGUGGUGAGCAAAUUACACUGGUAAAAGUACAGAGAUUGUACUUGAAGACUGGGGUUAGGAGUAUAUCGACUCCUAGAACAGUGACUGAACAAUUUAUCGUCUUAAAUAUCUAAAGUAAUUAUACUUGUUUGAUGCUUUUAUUGAAUGGUGAGUUUAAAUUAUAAAAUAUUAUGUUUUUCAAUUAAAAUAUAUUUUUUUUAUAAAAAUGAGAUUUAUACAGGUUUUGAAAUCAAAUAUUGUUUUGGAAAAAUUGAGUAUAUGGAGACUAUAUUGAAAUUUAUGAUUUUAUAUGUUAUUGAAAUUGGGGCUUAUGACACUAUGGUAGCAUGAUGGCUAAAUUUUUGAGUUUGGCAUGAAAUAUGUGAACAGUUUUGGAUUGGUCUCGGUAGACUGGAUUAAAUUUUAUUCGCCAUAUUAUGCUACUGAAAAUUUUAUGGGUCUGGUGGUAUAUUAAACGGUCACUACAAUGGUGGGGGUUUUCGUGGACUGCCUAUGAGAGGGGCACGGUAACCCAAUUAUAUACUUACCUUCGGGGGAAAAUGUUGGAUGAAGUAUCUCCUAAGGUAUGAUUUGAGUGCACCUCACGUUCGGGCGACCUCGUGAGAGCAAGACUCAGCCAACGUCAAGGAACGGCUGUGUGUCAGAUGUGAAAAUAUGUUUAUGGGUAUGGGUCAUUUAACAGCCUUAGCGGUCUUAGUGGGAUACCUUGACGAGGGUACCCGCGAGAAUGAUUCUGCUAGGGGCCAAGUUUAAGAAACUCAUAAGCCAGGGAAAUUUUGAUGAAAAGAAAUUGUUUGGUAUAGAUCGAAACGAAUUUUGCAUUAUGAACAUUAUUCAAAUAUAACGUUUUUUUUUUAGAUUGUCUCCAUCUACUCGGCUUUAGAUGCUUUUGAUGGUAAUUGUUUACUCACUGGGAUUAUGUAAUCAUAAUCUCACCCUUUUUCCUAUCCAUUUUUUAGGCUCAGGAUAGUUUAUUGAUAGUUGAUUAAGUCGAGAAUUAAUCUCGGAGUUACGUCGACAAAAUUGUAGGUUCACAGACUCGCACCUUAUUGAUUAGUUGGGGGCCCACGUGUCACUAUAAAAGUAAUUUUAUACUUCAGUUAUCUGAUUUAAAGUAUGUGUGAAUAUAUUUAGCUUUACACCAUGUUUUUGGCGAGUUUCGGUAUUUUCGAAGAAAAAUGACGAAAAUGCCCUUGUGAGCCAGAUAGUAAUAUUUUAUUAUUUUGAUUUGAAAAUAACUUAUGAUUUUUUGAAAUGAGAGAUUUAAUAACUGUCGCUCACGGGGGAGAUGCGGAAGCUGAUACUAAGCAUUGCGGGGUUUUGAUCGGCAUUCGGGGUAAUGAGUGCCUAUCGAGACGUAGUGGCGGUUGUCACGGGCUCGAUGGGAGUUCCAGGUCGUGACAUAAGGAUCCAGCCUAGUCACUGUCAUUGAAACCCUUCAACUCAUAGCUAUCCUCAUUCAAAUACCUCAAACCAAAAUUGAAUGUUGUCACGACCGGGAACUCUCAUCAGGCCCAUGACAACCACCACAACGUCCCGAUAGACAUUUAUUACCCGGAAUGCCGAUCGGAACUCCGCAAGGCUUAGCAUUAGGUUUCGCAUCUCCCUGGUGAGCGACAGUUAUUAAAUCUCACAUUUCAAGAAAUCAUAAGUCGUUUCCAAAUCAAAAUAAUAUAAUAUUAUUUUCUGGCUCACAGAGGCAUUUUCGUCAUUUUUCUUCGAAAAUAUCGAAACUCGCCAAAAACAUGAUGUGUGGGCGAAAAACACAUGUUUCAUAAUUAAAGUAAAUUUAGAUGUCUAAAAUAAUUAUUUGAAACGAAAUUAUAAAAGUUUGAAUAAAAUAAUAAUAUUUAAUAAAAUAUUCUAUUUAAAAAAAACAAUAUUUAUAGAAAAAUUCGUAAAUAAUUUUUGUAAUGUAAAAGCUAAAUAUAUUCAUACGUGCUUUAAAGCAGAUAACUGAAGUAUAAAAUUUCUUUUACAGUGACACGUGGGUCCUCAACUAACCAAUAAGGUGCAAGUCUGUGAACCUACAAUUUUGUCGAUGCAAGGCUAACUGAAGUCCUUGAUGCAAUCGACUAUCUACUUACUAUCCUGAGCUUGAAAUGUGGGGAAUUGAGGGUGGUGAGAUUAUAAAAUCUUAGUGAGUAAACAGACACCAUCUAAACUAUCUAAAGGCGAGUAAAUGGAGACGAAUUAAAAUAUUCUUUUCCAAUAUAUGUUUCAUAACAUGAAUAUCCAAUUUACUCAAUUAAUCAACAUGACUUAUAUAUCUCACAAAACUUGGCUCCUGCCAAAAUCAUUCCCGGGGAUGCCUUGGCCUAAGCAUCUGACCGAGACCACCAAGGCGGUUAAAUGUCUUUACAUCCGAAAUUCUAGUCAUGCCUUGGCAUUGGCUGAGUCUCACUCUCACGCGGUGGUCCACGUGAAGUGCACUCAAAUCUUUACCUCUAGAGAUACCUUUCACACGGCUCUCCGAUCGAGGUAUGAAUAUAAUAAAAAUAUUUGAUUCUGUGCCCCUUCUCUUAGGCUGAUCUAUAGAACCUCCACUGCAGGGAUUAUGAAUUAUUUUAUCUACCACCUGAUUUAUAAAAUCUUUAUUCGCAUGACAUGGCAAUUUAUCGCAAUCUAGCCUCUCAAGGCUGAAUACAUAGUAUAUAUAAUUUUGAUACAAAUACAGACUUUGCCAUUCAUGCUCACAUAUUGCUAUAAGCCAUAUAAUUUAAAACACAAUUUAUAACACAAGCAAGCAGUCUCCAAUUACUCUAUUUUCAAAACCAGUAUUCAAUUUUCUAGAAAAUUUAUAAAAUCAUUUUAUAAAAUCACAAUUUCUCCUAAAACAUAGAAAUUUACCAUGUAAACCAAUUUUCUAUAAAAUCACACAAUUGUAUAAAACUACUCUAGAUAAUUAAGACAAUAAUAAGUUUACUCACAGUUCUAGGAGUCGAUGUACUCCUAAUCCCAGUCUUCAAGCACAAUCUCUGUACUUUUACUAGUGUAAUUUGCUCACCACCUAUCCACAAUGUACAAUACAUAAUCCACCACAUUAAUGCUUGACCAUUAUAAAAUCAAUUCAGGCUCGGUGUAUAUGCAUGAUAUGAUAUGCAACUUAUUCGACUAUCGCUUAAAUGAGGUGCCGACCUAAUUCGGCCUAUUACCCGAUUAAAUGACAAUUGUGUUCGAUUUGGCUCCAAAUUGCUCCAUUUCAUUUCUAAUACCUCAAUCCACCAAACAUUAUUCAAAUAACACCAAUUUCAGCAUCAAAACCCUCCCAUUUCUUCAUGGAAAAAUUCAGCCAUUACGGUGCACUAACACCGUGAUUUUUCCUAUUUAAUUUUUCUCACCAUUAUUCAUCAUUUUCUAAGCCAUUUCUCUUGAAAUAAUAACAAUCCAUCACCCACACACAUCAAGGAAGAUUCGGCCAAUGAUGAUUCAUGGAAAAAAUGGAUUCUUUUCUUGUUGUUUUGCUUCUAAAUAUGCUAAAUCAACUAAAAACACUAACAUAUCUUAAAAUCAAUUCAAUCCAACAUCUUUCUCUCUCUAUACCCAUUUUGACCAGCCAUGAAUUCAUCAUGAAAACAUGUAAUUUAACCACGGAAAAUAAGGAGAAAUGCUUAAGGAAAAUAGAUUUUAAGUUUAAGUUGAAAAAUCCUACCUUUUUCACUUGUUUUCCUUGAUUUUCCAUACUUUUUCUCUUGAAAUUCUUCACCUAGGGUUUGUUCUUCCUUUUUUUCCCUCUCUUCCUUGCUUGGCUGAAUAUUUGGAGAGAUAAUGGGCUGAUUUAUGCUGAUUUUUAAGUUAAAUAAUAAAAUAUCCUAAGCUCGACACAUGGCAUGUUUCCAUUGGUCCAUUUUUAAAACUUUAAAAAUUUUAAACCUUUUAUCUCCACCACAUGAUUAUUCAAAGGUCAAAAUGAGGAUAAGGGAAGACCAUGUGCUGGACAAAUGUCCUGGUGGUGAAAAAUUACAAUUUUGCCCCUAGGGUGACAAAAUUACCAUUUUACCUCUAUACUCCAAAUUAUACCAAAAUUAAAAUUUUUCACUUCUAAACUUCAAAUCAUACUCCAAUAAGUCAAAUGGGGCCAAAAAAAUCUUUUCUAAAAUUUUCAUUUUGUCCCCAAGUAGCAAAUGACCAUUUUGCCCCUAGAUAGUGAAAAUUCCGGUUUGACUCCAAAUUGAUCCUCGAUAUCCGAAUUACUAUUUUGAGUCAUCCCUGGACUGUGAAACUCUCAAUUUCACCUUAAAAUUCCUAUUUGAACUAGUUCGAGGCUUAAUCGACUUAAUGAUACCAUUAGAGGCAAUAUCAUCUUUUAACGAUUUCUCAAACUUCAUAAAUAUGCAACCAUUCUAUUGAGCAUGUAAAUGACGUCGUAAUUAUUUUAUAGAGCAGGGUUUGACAAAUGUACCUUUGACAUACUUGAGAAUCCUCUUGGCAACCUUCAAAUGUAAAGUUGAAGGAUUUUGUAUAAACCUAGAUAACAAACUUGUAGAAAACAUUAUGUUAGGCUUGGUUGCAGACAAGUACAAAAGAGAGCCAAUCAUACUUUUGUAAACUUGACCAUCAACUAGAGUUAAGACAUCAUUUUUACUAAACUUGACACCAGUAAAUAGUGGAGUAGGCACAGUCUUGUAGAAGGUCAUGUUAAAUUUCUUUAACAAAUCCUUUGCAUACUUAGAUUGACGUAAUGCAAUCAAGUCAUUUGUCUGUACUACUUCCAACCCCAAAAAAUAAGUCAUUAACCCCAAAUCAUUCAUCUCAAAUUCUUUCAUCAUUUUCUACUUGAAUUCCACCAACACAUCAUUAUUAAGACCUAUGAGCAACAAAUCAUCAACCUAAAAAGCUAUUAUGAGUGCAAUUGAGCCAUUUGAAUAUUUCACAUACAAUAUUGACUCAUUAACACUUCUUUGGAAUCCUUGUCUUCUAAAAUGAUCAUCUAUUCUAUCAUACCAAGCACGUGGGGCUUGCUCAAGGCCAUAUAAUGCCUUAAUUAAUUUGUAGACCUUACCUUUAGAACUUUCUUCAAUGUAACCUUCAGGUUGCUUAAUAAAAUAUCUCUUGAUACGUAGCUAUUUAGAAAUGCUGAUUUGACAUCCAAUUGGUAAAUUAUCCAUCAUUCUCUUACUGACAAAGCAGUGAGCAUUCUAAUAGUAUCAUGCCUAGCCACAAGUGCAAAAGUCUCCAUAUAAUCUACUCCAUAAACCUAUGCAUACUCUUUGACCGUAAAACUGCCUUUAUAUUUGUUCACAGAACCAUCAAGAUUCAACUUUAUUCUGAAAAUCCAUUUGGCUCCUAUCACAUUUUGUCCUGCUCGUUUAUCCACUAGUACUUAAGUAUUGUUCUUCUUAAUCAUGUUGAUCUCGUUAUCCAUAGUAUCACCCAAUUUUUGUUUGUCACAGCUUCUCUGUAGCUGGUUCAAAAAUAGCUACAUUAGCCAUAUUGUAAAUCUCACUUAAGUUUCUAGUUCCUCUAACAACAAGACUUUCAUCUUCAAUAUUUUCAGAAUCAUUAUCAUCAAUCAGUUGUUGAUCUUUUUCAGUAUCAACUACUAGAUCAAAGUACUUAACAGUGACAUUUUGCCAAUUUCAUUUUUGCCCUUCAUCAAAGUUGACAUCCUUGUUGACAAACACUUUGUUUGACUGAACAACAUAUAGUCUAUAGCCCUUUGACACCUCAUUAUAACCAAUGUGCAUAGCAAAUAUCGACUUAGAAUCAAAUUUGGAUUUUCUCUCAUCAAGUAUUUUUGCAUAACAUGUGCAUCUAAAAACUCUCAAAUGAGCUAUAGAUGGUUUGUAUCCAAACCACAUUUCAAAAAGAGUUUUUUGAGAUAGAAUUUUGGUAUAUGCCCUAUUCAAUAUAUAAUUGGCAGAGUUUACUACCUUAACCCAAAACUUCUUUGGCAAUCCCAUAUGAUACAAUAAACACAUCCCCAUCUCAACCAAUGUUCUAUUUUUCCUUUCAAAUUUGCCAUUCUGUUAUGGAUUGUAGGUGAUAGUUAGCUGAUGUUGUACACCAUAUUCAGCCAGUAAUUUCUCAAAUUUUGCUACAGUGAACUCAGAACCAUUAUCACUUCUCAAUGUUUUAAUACUUAAGCUUGAGAAGUUCUCAACUAAUGUUUUGAACUUUGUGAAAUUCUUCAAAGCAUUAGGUUUUUGCUUCAAGAAAUAAACCCAGCAAUACGUAGUGAAAUCAUCAAGAAAUAGUAUAUAGUAUCUGCUUCCACUAAGAGAAUUUCAUUGAUCCACUUAUAUCAAUAUGGACUAACUCUAAUUUCUGAGUUGCUUUCCAACUACUUUUCUUAGGAAACAACUUCUUGGUUUGUUUAUAAAAUUGACAAGCUAAACACAAUGUUUCUUGUUUUGUGAUAUCAAGUAGGCCCUCAACUAAUUGACCAAAUGCCAUAUGAAACAGUGAACCAUAAUUCACGUGUCCUAACCUUUUGUGCCAUAGCUUAAACUCAUCCUUCUCAUUGUACAAAGUAGUAUGCUUAGUAUCUUUCAAGUACACAGGAUAUCAAUUGUUUUUCAUAUGAAUAGUAAACAUUUCUGCACCACAAGGAUCAAAUACAAUACAAAAUUUGUCUUUGAACAACAAAGCAUAAUGCUUAUCAGCUAAUUAUCCAACACUCAGUAGGUUAUAAUCUGCCAUAGCGCACACUUGUUAUAUGUUUCAUACUUGAUGUGGUUUCAACAACUACAAUACCAACACCAAGUACUUGCAGAUAUUCACCAUUUCCAAUUUUAACUUCAGAUAUCAAACUAGUAUCAAGAUCAGUAAACAAAGACUGAUUACUUGUAAGAUGAUGAAAACAAGCACUGUCCAAUAACCAAAUACUUGUCUUACCAGAAUCCGUACCCAUUUUAGCCAUAAACAAAACUUCUUCAUUCUUAGUCUCCUGCUUAGCUACAUCAGCCUGAGUUACAAGUUCUGUCAUUUUGUUCUUGCACACUCUUUCAACAUGCCCCAUUUGCUGACAGGCCUUACAUUUGACAUUAGGCCUAAACCAACUAUAUUUUUCAAUAUGAUUCUUUUUCUUGCAAUUUGAGCAAGGAGGAUAUUUACUUGUUGAUUUGCCUUGCUUCAAAUCAAUUGAUUUAGUUCCUUUUGAUUCAUUUUCUUGGAAUUAUUCCCUUUGAGUUUUAACCCCUUGGUCUUAGCCAUUAAGGCAUUUUCCACCAGAUCAUCAACUAUUAAGGCUCUUCUAUGCUCUUGAGCUAGUAGGGCAUUUAUAAGUUCAUUCACAAAGAUUUUAGUUAAGUCCUUAAAUUCUUCCAGAGAGGAUAUUAUUACUUCAAACCUUUCUAGUAAGCUGAUUAUGAACUUAGCUACAACUCUUCUCUCAAAAACAUCCUCUCCAAGAAACCUUAACUAAUUAACUAUCGUUAAGACUUUAUCAGUAUAAGCUUGAAUUCCUACUUCAUUUUUCAUUUCCUACAUUUCAAAUUCCUAUGACAAAAUCAUGAUCUAUAUCAUUUUAGUUCUCUCAUUCCCUUGAAAUUCAUCUCUUAAGGUUUCCAAAACAAGUUUAGGAUCAUCUAAAUUAAUAAUCCUAGCAAAUAUAGAAUAUGAAACAGCAAACUGAAGACAAAACAAAGCCUUAUACCUCUUAGCCACUUUUUUCUCUGUGUUGCUUGAUUUGAGUGAUUGUUGGGUUGCCAUGCCUUUGAAUUGAGAGCUUUCUAGUCUCUACUACAUCCCAUAAGUCGAACACCUUUAGGUAAGAAUGCAUCUUCAGGGCCUAAAUCUGGUAAUUAGAACUAGAGAAUGUAGGAGGAGAUGAGGUAGAAAAACCAACAGUAGCCAUUUUACUUUCUUCAAAUCUAUUGAUCAGCUUUAGGAAUGAAUUCUUAAGAAAAUAAACAGUCCCAUAAGAAUACUGCUCUAAUACCAUGAAGAGAUUUUCAGAGUGAAGUUUCUAGAAAAAUAAGAUGAACUUAAGAAUAAAGAGGAAAGCUUGAGUCAAUAGAGAAUAAUCAAAAUUUGGGGAAAAACUCUCAAUGGUUAUUUUCAUUAAGGUUAUAUAUCCUUGCUAAACGUACUGAGCUCUAUAGAUUUAGCCUUGGUUAAUGUGAAAAAUAAAAAUAGUCAGCUGAGCACAAAAAACAAUGGCAUUGUUUUCUGUGCUUUGCAACAGUAGCAACAACAUGGCUGUUAGGCGUUACAUUUGACUCAAAACCACAACACUAUUGUAAGUAAAAGGAAGAAACAAGAAACAAGAUUAAAAUGACAAAGCAUGAUACCGUAUGACACUAAGUAAAACUCAUAAGUGAAAUGACACAGAGACAGUCGUUUAGGCACUACAGUUUGGUAAAGUAAAAAGCAAAACUACACCGUUUCCUAGACUCAGUUCUUCAAUCUUCAAACCAUCGUUGGUUCACCCCAUUCUUCAUCUCCUUCACUUUCAAAGAAGAGAUUAAAUCUUCAACAAGCUUUUGUUUUUCAGCCAAGAAAUAUUUUCUCUUUAAAUGACAUGUGCAAGUCACACGCCACUUGUGGCUUUCUCGAUGCCAAAAACUUUCUCUAGGAGAUUGGAGUCUAUUGUGGUGGUCAACGUGCCAAUCAAAUACGUUGUAGAUCAUGACACGCACCGAACCAAGAGUGGAUCGGAUUUCUACAGUAAUUCAUCUUCAACUCUAGAGUUUGCUUUUAUUCAUUUUAGUCCCUAACUUCUUUUUGCUAAAUUUUUUGGUCAUACAAAUCCAAAUGAUGCAAAUGGUUAUAUACUAAAGGAAAGGUUGUCAAGGAAGGAUUCUAUUGGCGUAAAAAUAUUCAAGAAAGAAAAAUAUAAAACAAAGUUUAGGGUUUAACAACUAGGGUUUCAUUUUUCUCCUUCUUUACUCAUCACAUCAAAUUCAAAACUUUCAAAUAUUAAUAUAGAAGCAUAUAUUAGGAUCAUAUCAUGAAAUAGUUAACUCUAGAAAUAUGCUUUUUUACUAUUGUCAUUAAGGUGUCAUAAAAACUUCAAAAACUAGAUAAUCAUAAAACAUAGACAUAAUCAAUCAUUUCUAGCGUGUUAAUCAUGUUUUAUUACAGACCAUAACAGUAUGAAAACACACGAAUAAGCUGUAACAUCAAUGUAAAAAAACUAUGGAUGUAAUAAAAGUUCAAAAGAAUCUUACUCUAAUCUAAUAUAUAUUAGCCUUUUUUUUUUUCAAGAUUAAUCCAAAGUAUCUCCUAGAUUUUGAUUCUGGAUAUUUUACACGUAUAUUGAUCUCUGCAAAUUUGUCGUGAAAACCUACUACAAACACGAGCAGUGACAAACUUUGCCUAGUGCAAAAACCAUAGCUUGAAAAUGGAAAAAGGUGGGUGAAAAACUAUUACAAACACGAGCAGUGACGAACUUUGCUUAGGGCAAAACCUUAGCUUGAUAAUGGAAAAAGGUGGUUUUCAGGUUAAUUGUUUUUUUAAUUGUUCUGACUAUUGUGAUUGUGUUUUGAUGAAAAGUCUCAACUUAUUUAUAGAACCCCUUUUGUCGUAACUUUAAAUUCAUAGGUAAUCUUAAUAUAUAAUUAUCAUACAAUUAUUCAGAUAACUUACUUUACCAGGAUAAAGAAAGGGUAAAUCCUAAUCUUUUGGUAGACUUGGUUAGAUAAGCUGAACUAUCAUGAGUGUUGUCCAAGAAGUCUAGCAACAUAAAAACAUGUACAUGGAAAACAGUGUAGCAAAGCAAAGGCCGGCUUCUACUUCUACUUCUACGUAUGAAACCCUAAAGCCUAGCAAUAGCACACGUUAAUUUCAAUUUUAACAACCUUAUACAAAUCUUCUGCAAUGAUCAUUUAAAUUGUAUUGUUUUAUGAUUGAUGACUUGGUACUUGCCUUCAACGUUCAAAGUACUACAAACCCAAAAAAAGAAAAGACCAAGACCUCGUUGAAGGUACAUGCUUUAGGUUUAGUGUCUUAAUUAGGAGACAAUGUAACAUCAUUUUCAUUGGUUUGAAGAUUGUCCAUUGCUUGUUAACAUUGGCAGAGAAACUUUGUUAGAAAAAGUGGGCACAGCAUUUGCAAGGUUGUGGUCCUUGCCUUGGUUAAUUGGAGGGAAAACAUCGCCAGUAUCAUGGACAAAGGUUAGACGCAAUGUUGUUUUAGCAGUGCUUUACCUUAUCUCUAGAUUAAAUCUGUUUUGGUUGACCAUAUCUCUAGAAUGAUUCUUUUUAUGGUGUGUGGCAUGCUUCAUCUUGGUAAAAUGAAUGCGACCAGCGGUCAAAAAAGGAAAAACAAAAGUGAGAGAUUUUUUAUUUUCUUUUUUCCCCUCACUACUUAAAAUAUACAUAUAAGCAGAACUCUACUUGUAUUGUACGAGCUUAAGUUAAUUAAACAAGUAUUAAUAAAAAUAGUUUCUUUUCUUUCUUUAAUUAAUAAAAAUGUUUUGUUACAUGAAUUAACCGAGGUCUAAAAUAGAUUUUUUUAAUAAUAUUUUGUUAAUUAAGCAUGACACUGUUUUGUAUUCUCUUAAAUGAUAUUCUUAAUGGUACUUAAAAGGAUAUAUACUCACGUUAUGCAAAGCUUUUUUUCAAUUAAAAUUCAUUUCAGAAGUAAAUAAUUAUUUAUUUACUAGAUAAUGUUAGUUUUUAUAUUCUAGAAUACAUGCAUGACUUGGUUUUUACAUUAAUUAUUACACAUCAACUACUUUCUUUCUCUGAUUUUGAAUAUUUUCACAUGCUAUGUUUACUGUCCAGGUCUACAAGAAAUGUAGAUAGAUAUUGGGAUGUACUUAUAUUGGGAGACUGAUAGCAUAUGACAAAGUAUAUUUUCUUGAGUUGCCUUGGCGAGGUCAAAGUGGGUUUCACUUGGGAAUGCUAUUUUCUUUACCCAAUUUUAAAGAGUUUGGAUUUUUUACCCAAGUUCUAACCAUUAAGUUAUCUUAUUGGAGAUUAUAUUCCUUUGUGCGUUGUAGUUUAACCAUAUUCCAUACCUCAUGUUUUCUCUCUCGACACUCGUAUGCUCUACUACUACCAUACCUUUACACCCUACUCUUGAUUAAAAGCAUCCCACCUUCCACUACCUCUUAUGUACUUCUUCAGAGAAGCCCAUACUUACUAUAGUUUUUACCAACCCUUGUACGGUUUGUACCAAAACUCUUCAUGCACGUUUCUUCUUCUUUCCAGCAUAUCAUCUGAUGUAGGAUGAGUUAUCUUAUUGAGCGCAUCAAUUUAAUCUAUAUAUACAGCCUAUAAAUACACCAAACAUGACUCCAUUAAUGUAAAGACUUAUUCUCUUUUUAUCUCUGCCUCCAGUCUUCCUCCUAAUUAGUUGGAGGGGAAAAAUCAACCUUUUUAGACAUCUUUGACCUAUUACCAAAAAAAGUAAUGCUAAUCUGUACUUCAGACGGAUGCGCUACUGUCUAAUUACUCAUAUAGAUAUAACUAAUAACAAUUUUACAGCAUUUAUUGUCAUUUUUCUAUUAGUAGUCGGACAGUGAACUGUCAGACACCUUACUUCCCCUCAAACAAUAAUGCCCAAGCUUAAAUUCCUAUAAGGACUCUGUAGUCCUUCUUUCUGCCCUGUCUCUAUUCUAUGUUAUCACGAAGUUGCAACACUGCCUCACAAUCCAUCUAUAGUACUGAUUACUUUCAUGAAUCACGAAUAAUUAAAACGAUCAUGUAUUAAAUAAUUAAUGUUACGAUCAAUUACACUAAUUAAUCAAGGGUCAAUUAUAUAUUUCAGCAAAUCGCUACGUUCACGAAUAAAUACUAUAUAUUCCAAAAAAUAAUUCAUAUAUAAAUGUUGACUGAUGUUUUUCUCUAAGUGCAUGCCGCAAAUAAGAACUGCCUCACGUUGUUAUUCAUGCAUUUACUGCACAUGAUGUGAAAUUUCAUAUAUAUAUAUAUAUAUAUAUAUAUUGAGAUUGUUCGUCAUCUAGAGAUACAUGGUUGAAAAUUAAACCAAAUUUGACUUCAGUUGACAUUUUUAUUCAGACUUGCAGCAGUGAGUCCAAGGAAAUAUAACCAGCAAUGUAUUGUAUGAUACUUUGCCAUGGGAUGUCAUCUUCAUUCACACACGCUCUGGUACUGGAGGAACUUAGAGUUUAUUUGAGGCAGAUUUUCAAUGGCCGGAUAAUGCCCCACAACAGAUAUGGCUCAAAGCCAAGAAAGCUUGGGAUAUUCUGCAUUGUCGAGAACAGAGAAUGAAGUCUGAAAUUCUAGUAGCCUGGGUCAAAACAAGUUAUCCUUAUGUGAAGCUAAACGUGGAUGGUAGUGCAAAAGGCCAACCGGGCGAUGCUGUAGCUAGAGGAUUAGUCAGGGACGAAAAUGGAAAUUGGUUAUUUGGGUUUGUCUAUUUCUUUCUCACUUGGAGCAAAGCUUUGGGCAAUUUUAAAGGGUUUAGAAUUAUGCUGGGAAAGAGGCUUUAGACUAGUCUUGGUAGAAACUGACUCUUAAACUCGCUAUUCAGAAGCUAUCUCAACAGGGGUUUCAUUUGGAUUCAUGUGCGAGCAUUGUGAAGAUUAUACAGAAGCUUCUCCAGGGAGAUUGGUCUUGUUUUCUCACUCACGUGUUGCGUGUAGCUAAAUAGUUACGUGGACUGGAUAUAUGGCAACUAACUAUAAUAAUCUUCCUUUAGGUCUACAUGUUUUUGAGGUCCCUCCACCAAAUAUCUCCUCCUUGUUAUGAGCUAAUAUAUUAGGUAUAUCUUGGGCCAGACUUAUGUAAUUUGAGUUUUUUAUUGAAUAGAUGCCUCCCUUAAUUAAAAAAAAAAAUCAUAUUUUAAAUGGAACAAGUUGAAGAUCAAUUACGCCCGUUAUCAUUUUUCUUUAUCUUAAAUUAUAGUCAACCAUCAUAUAGUAUAAGAGACUAAUAUAUAACUACAGGCUCUAACUUGCUCAAGACUUUGUCUUUCUUCUGCUGACUUUUUUUUAUACAUAUGUUAAAUAAUCAAAACAUCUAGUGAUGUGUACGUCUCUACGAGUAUUUCUCGAUAAUGGGCUUGUUGUGAAUAAAUUUAUACGCAUGAAGAAUUGUCGUUUCCUUUCUAUAUAUUGAACGAAAUUUUAAAUUUUCCUGUAAAAAAUUGUCUAAAAUAAAUUGAAGAUCACGUUGAUUAUAUAGGAUUUUCUUGCAAAUUACGUCUUCAACAUUAAUCUUAAUUGACCUAUGGUGAUUAUGAUAAUCUUGUCGUCGUGCUGUUAUUUGCAGCAUUGAACUUGCAGUCCCUUGCUCUCUUUGAUUUGUAUUUCCUUGUAAAUUAAUUAUAAAAGGAACAAUUUUUUUAUGGCAUAAAAGGACUGCAGAAAGGAAUCGUUUAUGAUGGUUCUAGAAUCAGGAUUUAUCGUUUUGCAUAUCUCAUAUGAAUGUCAUCUAGUACUUUUUUUCCUCGCUUUUUAAGAUUAAGAGCACUAUUUGUGAUAAACCAAAAAAAAUUUGUUGAGUAAAAUGUAUUUAAUUAAGAUGUACCAAGACUUUGAUUAAACAAUACAUUUCUAUGGUUUUCAUUCUUUAAUAAUCAAUUCUAGAAAAUCCAUUGGAUUACCUACCCUGUUUUGGACCCUGCGAUACAAUAUUAGAUCCAAGCACAUUGGGACCCCAGCUUGGUCUAACAAAGUUAGGCUUGAGUUUUGAGGAAAAAACAAUUAGAGCACAAUUUAAAAAUUCAUUUAAUUUUUUUUUAAAUUUUACUUUUAUAAAGCAAUAAAAUUUAUCAAUAAUGCAAAACAGUGAUAUCAUUAGAUCAGGUUUAGUAUGUGAAGUGUCAAAAGAUUACGUAGAUUAAUUAUUUUAAAUGAUGAAACUCUCUAUGCCUUUCCAAAAAAUUUAUCUAGAUUAAAUAACGAAAAUUUAAUGAUUCAUCAUCUGUGUUGUUUAAUUAUAUGCUAGCUGCUACUUUAAUUUUUUCGAUAUAAUAUAUUUUAAAAAACUCUUCAACUAUUUAAAAAUAUUUCAGUAAAUCUUUAUUCUUCUAUUAUGUUGAAUCAAACUUUUAUAUUUUUAUUUUGGAUCAAAUAAACUCUUAUGAUUAAGGGUUAACUAAUAGUUAUUAGUUAAAAUACUACUUAUCAUUUUAUACCUAUGUGGUAACAAUAUAGCGUUGAUAUAGAGGGUAAAAAAUGUUAUAUGACUAUAUCAUCAUGUGACACCAUUAUUCAUAAUGAUAUGUCAACAUAUCACUUUAACAUCAUGUCGUUUAAAAUAACAAGUGACUUCUCGACUAACAACAAUGAAUUUAUUUGACUCAAAAUAAAAAUAUAAAUAAUUAAUUAAAAUCAUAAAAAAAUAAAAAUUUAUUUAAAUUUUUUUGAAUAAUUCAAAAACUUUUUUAAAUAUUAAUUAUUUUUUUUUGUAACAUAUGUUUAACUUUUGUCUUAUAAAUCUUACCACAUCCAAUUCAAGAUUUAAAUUUGAAAAAUUUGAAGAUAAAGUUUUAUAUCUUAAUAGUUGAAAUAUUCCUUGGGUGGUUAAUGAUACUGUCUCUUUUGAAUUUUUAUGCAAACAUUAAAGCAUAAAAAUGAUGUUAAUUUUGACCAGCUUGUCUUAAAAUAUAAUGAAGAAAUGUGUCGAAAGGGUCCAAGCAUCCUCUUUUCAUUCCCACCAAUGGCUGGCUAAAAAUGCAUACCAACAACUCAUUGCCAACACAUAUGCUGCGACAAUACAUGCAGCCUGCACAUACCUCCAUUUUGGAGCAGAUGUCACAUUUUAUCUUAUCUUCCAUUUUUGGGUAUGAGCAGCUGAGCAAAUACACCACCAAUACCACAGCCUCAAAGCUUUUGGAUCAUUUAAAUAAUUUGAAGUGACUUUAUCUUUGAUAUUCAAGUUUGACUUUAAAAAUAUAAUCAAGAUUUGAUUUGCUCAAUAAUUACCGCUAAGGAAUUCAAAAUCUAAUUGAUUUAACUUAAAUAAAGUUUAAGAAUAUAUAAUUAAUAAACAUUAUGUUUUCCUUGAACCGAUCCUCAUUUUCCUUUCAUCAUAGUAAAAGGGCUUCCUGUCACUUCGACCAUAAAUAAGUAAUAUUCUGACAAUAAGACUUUUUGUGUCUGUGUGUUUUUUUUUUUCGUUUUCUCAAGGGAGGAUAUUGAAAUUAUAACAUUAUACACCUUAAUCCCCAAGGUUUGUGUCCCUUGUCAUAUCUUAGUGAUUAAAUGCUCAUUUUCAUUUGCAUUGAGUUAAUCAUUAUGUAAUAAAUGGAAAUUGAUAGCAUUUAUAUAAAAAAAGUUGACAGCGUUAAGUGCAUGGGAAAUGAAAUUUGAUGGCUAAAUUCAAUUUAAUUCUGAUUUAAUUCAUAUCUAAAUUCAAUAUCAAUUAAAUGUGAACUCAAGUUAUAAUUAAAAAUCGCAUCAUAAAGUGUAGGUGCAUUGAAAAAAUAAAUAAAAUGGUAAAAUUGGAUUGCUUCAAUAAAACAAAUACACAGCUCAUCGAGAAGAAAAUCAAAGGAAAAAGGGGGCAGGCGGCCUAGUUGCUUCCCUAAACCCUAUUAAGUAACCCACAAAAGCGCCAACCCCAACCCAGCCCUCAUUGGCGUCCCAAUGGUUGGAUCAUCAUUUGGUGCUACGCUUUUUUGAGUAAAAAUCACAUAAAUGAGGGUUAAAGACGGGCACUGUGACUUCCUAUUUAUGUCCCGCACUGCAUUUAAGCCUUUUACUUAACACUCUCUUGUCUCUCUCACAUUCAUUAAUUAAGCCUUUAUCAUCCACACAAAUAUUUUCAUCUGCCCCCUCCCCCUUCUCCUUGAAACCAAUCAAGUAUCCUCUUUUUGACUCCUUUCGCUUCUUAACUCCCUGUUUCCUUAAUCAUUUAACAAUAAUAAAGAGGAUCUGUUGAACUGCAGAACUUCUUUUCUGAGCUGGGUUUUCCUUUUUCCUUACAAGGCUUCUUUUCUUUCUUUGUUGCUAGCUAGCUCCUGCAUGAAACAGAGUUCCCUCACUUGCUUGUCACUAUUGCAAUGAAGUAUAUCAGAACCAACAGCUUCAAACGGUUGUUCUCAUUAAAAAGACGCAGUUUUGAAGAAGAUGUUGCAAACACCCAACAUGGGGUUUUUGAAGAAGAAGAAGAAGACAACCGCAAAGAAAGCUCCAAGAUUGUUUCAGUUACAGAGCAUUCUCAGAGACCUUCGUGGAGAUGCUUCUCCUUUCAAGAAAUCUCUCUUGCCACCAAUGCUUUUAGCUCAGGUUUCUUUCAACUGUUCAAGCUUUUUUCCCUCAAGUUUGGUUGUUUUUUUUUUCUCUUCUGGGUGUUAAUGUUUUUCAUUUUAUUAUUUGGAUAAGCAGAGAAUUUGGUAGGCAAAGGAGGGUAUGCAGAGGUAUACAAAGGAGUGAUGAAGGAUGGGGAGGAGAUUGCAGUGAAGAAACUAACAAAAGCUUCAACUGAUGAAAGGAAAGAGAAGGAUUUCUUGACUGAAAUUGGAACUAUUGGUCAUGUCUGCCACCCAAAUGUAUUGUCACUUUUAGGCUGUUGCAUUGACAAUGGCCUUUAUCUCAUCUUUCAGUUCUCUUCCAAAGGCUCUGUUGCUUCUCUUCUCCAUGGUAUCAAAUGCAAAAUCUUGGGGUUUUCUUUAAUCAAAGUCAACUGGGACAUUUCUGGGUUUUGGUAUGUUUUUUCUCUUCCUUUUUUAUUGACUUUUUGUUGCUGCAGAUGCGAAUUUGCCAUCAAUGGACUGGAAAACAAGGUAUAAGAUUGCAAUUGGUACUGCAAGAGGACUCCAUUACUUACAUAAAGGAUGUCAAAGAAGGAUAAUUCACCGGGACAUUAAGUCUUCGAAUAUUCUAUUGACUGCAGAUUUUGAACCUCAGGUGCCUAUAUCAAAUUUGCUCUGUUUGACUUACUUUGAUCAGACUAAUUGUGUUCUAACUGUUUCUUCAUAAUUUUAUGUUAUAGAUAUCAGAUUUUGGACUAGCAAAAUGGCUUCCUUCUCAAUGGACACACCAUUCAAUUGCUCCAAUUGAAGGGACAUUCGGGUACUAUAUUCUACAAACCUUUUCUCCCUCCUUUUUAAAAGAAAGCAUAACGAUGAAUUUGGUUUAAAUGGCUAUGCUACAUGUCCUGUAGGCAUUUAGCGCCUGAGUACUUUAUGCAUGGAAUUGUGGACGAGAAGACAGAUGUGUUUGCAUUUGGAGUUUUUUUAUUGGAGAUUAUUUCAGGGAGGAAACCAGUUGAUGCUUCUCACCAAAGCUUGCACUGCUGGGUAAUGCCUCUCCUUAAAUUAGAACAUCAUCCUUCCUUAACCUUUGUUAGUAAAGAAAUAGAUGGUUAUGUGAAUUUCAUGCCUUUAUUAAUUGUAACCUUCUGAACUCAAUAGGCAAAACCACUCUUGAAACGCGAUGAGAUUGAAAAAUUGGUAGAUCCAAGGCUCCGAGGGGCCUUUGAUGUUUCGCAGCUAAAAAGACUUGCCUUCGCGGCAUCUCUCUGCAUUCGAGCAUCUUCAGCUUGGCGUCCUACCAUGAAUGAGGUAUUUUAUCUGCUAUGCUGGACCAUGUCAUGUGCAUCACCAGUAAUUCAAUUACUUGCACAUGUUCAUCAAUGAAUACGAAUUUAUUGUUGACCCCAUGCAUCCAAAUCUGGUCUUGCACAUACAUUUCUUAUAGGAUGAUGUAAUUUUCAAAGGCUCUAAUGUUCCUGACGAGUCAUACGCAUUUCAGAUGCUGACUAUCGCUUCAAUGCCUAGCAGUCUAUUUAAUCUUUGAAAUUAAGUUCCCUUGACAGAUACGAUGAUAUUUGCAUACCAGUGGUGCACUUCUUCUUCCCAUAAUACAAGGCUUUAAUUCAAUGCAUUUCGUCCUUCCAAUUAGGAAUGCAGAUACACUAAGCUUGAGUUUUGAUCAAUAAACAAAACUUCCUGAUGAGGAUCAUUAGAUUAUGAAUACAAUAGUUACCUUAUAGUUUAUAGCUAAGUGACUGACAGUAUUCAUAUAGGUGUGUUCUGGUAUUUAAAAAACACCAACUUUGUUAAUAUAUUAUGAUUUUGUCAGCUGUCAUCUUCUUAAAAUUAUGGUGGUUCGCCUGUAAUGACUUUGCACAUCCUUUUCACUGGUAAGGACUGCAACAUGCAAACUUAGAUUUGGUCAUUUUUUGGUGCUGGAGAUGGGCAUAUAUCCGGUCUUUUACGCAAUUUUAAUCACUCAGAGGAUGUUCUAUCCUACCUAACCUAAACCUUGAAGCUAAUACAGAAACUAAAAUAUGACAAACCCAUGUGAUUACAAGGAUCAGAAAAUCAUUACAAAAUGAUUGGAAAAGCGGGUCCUGUUUUGACUUAUCGUUGCACCAUAGUGUAUUUUAAACAUAAAAUACGUGUGUAAUUACCCUUUUCUCUACAGUUAUGAUUAUUUGCUUUGAAAUUUGGGACUACCACUUGCUGAAGCAACUGAAAUGGAAGUGCAAUUUGUCAAAAAAUAUUAUAUAUAGAAUUCCCAAGUAAUGCUGCUAGAUUUUUGUUCAUUUAAAGCUUAAACGUGUCAAGUGCAUUAAAAAGAAGGGGAUACAACACCAGCCAAGGCUAAUAUAUAUGUUAACCCGAAAAAGUCAUGAUAGAAAUAUGUAAUUAUUGAGCUCAUGGGCCUCAUUUUCUUGUCAUGAAUCACAUAAAGCACAUGUUGCACAGGCACCCUUUUUGACAAUUCAAAACUUAUGCAUAUAUGAUGACAAAAUACUUUAUUUAUUUCUUUAGCCAAUUCUUCAAGUCAAAUUUCGCUUCUAUAUCCAAUGAAACCCUUGAAGCAAAUUCUUUUCCUGUUAAUUGAUAGGUUUUGGAAGUUCUUGUGGAAGGUGGUGAUACUGAUAAAGAGAGGUGGAAAAUGCCAGAAGAAGAAGAGGACCAAGAAGAAUUCUGGGGCUUUGAGGAUCUUGAAUAUGAAUGUCAUAGUUCUUUCUCAGUUUCUCCAGAAGAUUCAAUCUCUACAAGUUCUUAGAGGGAAAUUGAUCCAAGUGCUAAGAAAAUCCCAACCACUGCUAUUGUCUUCAUGUAAAUACAAAUAUUGUUGCAAUUAUAAAUACAUAUAUAGAGUGAACUAUUACAUCAAAACUUCCCCUUCAGUAUUAGACACUCAUUUCACCUUCUAUGUCCUGCUUCCAAUAAAUGCCCAAGGAAACCUCCAACUGGAAAAGGGUAAAGAAAAUGUCAAAUGGAUGGGAAGAGAUAUAACAAAAAAGUGUCAACCAAUGCGUUAAUAAGUCAUCCCAAAAAUAGUAAUGCCAUUUUGUCCCAUUUUUUAACUUGUACUACACACAAAUGAUAUGCAAAAUAAUACUUUAACCAUUUAUUUCUUGCAAGUAGUCGAAUGAUCUGAUCAUAAAAAACUCAAGCCUGUAUAAUGUUAUGAGUUAAAAUGAAAAGAUUGGUUUAAGCUUCCUUUUUUGUGUGGAUAGACAAUGAAGUGCCUGAAAAGGAUGAGUAUUAUUGCUCAUUGAUGGAAACACCAAUUAUUAUUAGUACUGUCAUGUCGGCUCCCUCAUGUUGCUGAUGAAUUUUUGUGAUAAGAAGUGAAAGAAAUCUCUUAAACGAAAAAAAUAAAAAAACAACUGCAUUAGUUACUAUCAAUAAUAACUACAUUAAUAAUUAAAUAAUAACCAUACUAAGGAUGGUUCAGAACAAUGACAUAACCCAAAAAUGAGCUAAUGAGUCACCUUGUCAUGCCAGGUAUUUUUUUUUAGUCCUAUCCCAAGUCCUGGUAGGGACUGCCCCUGGUGGAACCCAUGCCAGAUGUGCAUCUCAAAUUAUGAAUCACAUCUUUCCUUCUGGGGCAUAAUUUGGGGUUCUCUAAAUUAUUCUCCAGACAUAGCCUGGUCAUCUCUUUUCAUAGGCUCAAGUCCCAACAUAACAUUUCUCCUUAAAUUCCUUUUUUUAAUCCAAUGGUAGAAUAACUCAUAACAUAAUGAGCGAUAUUCUUUUCCUUUAUUUAAUUCUAUGUUGUUGUCUUGUUAAGAAUGAGUUUGGUCUUUAUUUUUUGGGUAUUAAACAAUCAAAGAACUAAUAAUGGGAUCUCAAACUAAAAACUUUUGUACAAAAAAAGUUAGCUUAUAAAAUAGUAGUAACCUAUUUUCCAAUGGAAUACUUAAACAGUUUGAAUUUGAGAUUUCAUUUGAAUAUUUCGAACUCAAAUAUUAAAAAAAUUAUAUAAAAUGAAAAAAAGAGAGAUUCUUUUCGAUUAUGCUACAAAAAAUAUUCAUGUGUAAAAGAAAAAUGCUGACCCAAAAAUGAUUAAGGCCUCAAAUGUUUCUUAAUGGAUUCAAUAAUGCCGUUGAGACAAGGAUUCUAUACUAGGAACAAUAGAGAGAUUGAGUCUAUAUAAUAUAUACAAAGUCCAUGCAAUGAUUUAGUGUUGUAAAAUGGAAGCAAGAACACAUGGCGGUUGAUGAACAGUUAGACUUGCCCUCCUGAUAAUGGGGCCGGCACAGGGACAAAUUAAUGCUCCAAAAGAACAAUGAGACCCCAGAAAAAAUGUGUUAGUUGAACGCUGAGAGUGCUUGUUGUUUACGAGUUAGGAGCAUCUUUAACCUUAUUUUAGUCUGAUUUUAAUGUUGACGAGUGGUUUAACUUAUAAAGACUCAAAGGAACUGGCAGUGCAACGACAAAUGAUAUCCCAUAAUUCAUUCACAAAAUCGUGGCGUUUUGUAUAGCAAACAGUUGUUCAGAUAAGAUUAAUUAACGAAGGCAACAUUUCCUUUCCAGUGAAUUGAUUAAGUUAUCCAUCUUUUACGAAUUACAAUAAGUUUUUUCUUUAUCAAAACCCUCAUAUAAAUUAAGGGUCUGAUCGAGAUUAAGGAAAGUGUUAAAUAUAGAAACUAAGUGACAAUAAUUUUUAUUACCAUUUUAAUAAAAAUUGGAUGAAUGUUAGAGAAAGAUAGACCGGUGGAAGAAAGAAAGUAAUGGAGGUAGGUACAUCUUUACCAACCUUCAUUUUCAUUUUAUUUUUUCUGUGUGCAUUGUAUUCUGCUGGCGGAUGGAAUAUUGAAUGGAUGAAAAAUGCAUUCAUGGUCUUUAAACCAUAAAAUUUAUGUAUCUAGAAAGCAUAUAUAAUUAAUAGUGUACAAAGUAGCUAGACAGCUCAUCGACAAAUGUACGUAGAAACUAGAAAGCAUUCAUUACUAAAUAGUCAACUAGCUGAUUAAUUCGGUUGGGAUUCGUAAGGAAUUUUGACUCUCAUCUCAUGUUAUUAUCAAGCCGGAUACUAAUAUUUUUUCUGGAAAGAAAUAGAAAAUUUUUCUUGGGUUGGCUCAACAGUAUGAUCCUGUUUUUUGCAAUCCAUACUUUUUGUUUAAUUAAUAUAUUUUAAUAGGAAUUCUUUUUUUAAAAAGAAACUGUUGUUAAUUACUUUUCUUAUUUGUUUGAGGCCGGAUUUUCAAAAUUAGUAAAAUUUUAUCAAAUUAAGUUGUGUUGACUGAGUUAAAAGCAACUAUACAUGAUAACUUUUAACUACAAGUCAUGUCAUAAUUUAUUGAAUUUAUAAUUAAUUCAGUAACAGACCUAUCUAAUAAUUUUUCCUGUAUCAAUAAGGGUUAAUUUCCUGUAACCAUCUACGGUUUAAAAGCAAUUAAUUAAUUAAUUAGAGUAAUAAUUUGCUAGUGUCAUAUCAAUUGUAAGAAAUUGUAAGAAAACUUCCUUUUCUUUGGUGGAAAAAGAGGCAGCUAGCAAAAGACUGAUUUUGCCUAGAACCAUAACUUUGUUGUUGAGACGGAUGACAACUUAUUCUAUCACUACCAAGUUUCAAAGUGAAUGUACUUGUCAAGUAGUUGCAGAUCGACAGUCCAAAUUUGGCCCAACAUCCAAAGUCCAUAUAUAUACUAGCUUUAAACUAAUGAGUAGAGGAGCCGCUGAUAUUCAACGGCAGAAACAUAAACGUAUUAACAUAUAUAUGUCCCCUCUCAAACUUAUUAAUUAAUGAUGUAGAUAGAAACUCAGUUCUAUAAUUGAUCUCCUUGGCCUAAAUGAGAAUUGGGUGUUACUAUAUCUUUUCUCAAUUCCACAUAUUAUUGGGUCCUCUCUGAAAAAUUAGAGUUAAUGAUCAUCUUGCAGUAUUCAAGCUAUUUUAUACUGGUGACAGUAGUAGCAUAGAAAUAAAUAAUAGAUGCAUGUCAUGACAUUUUUGGGAAAAUCGAUAUUGAUUGAACAGUGAAAUGACCAGAAAUAUUGCUAUAUUUCUCAAAGAACAAUUGAAUGAAUACAAGGGUUUAUUUAUAUUGUUGGUCUCAAGUAAAUGUGCUGAGGGGGGUGAAUAGCACUUUUUGGCUCUUGGUAAGAUGAGGAACUAAUUUGAAAAGUAAUGAAAAUAAAAAUAGAGUAGACAAUGCGUAGAAAUUUAGAGUGGUUCAGUCCAAAACCUAUAUCUACUACUUUGAUUAUUCAACCAAGGAUUUUUCAAACUAAUCCACUAUGAACGGUGAAAUUCACAAGCUUUCACCAAACUUUUACAAUGGCUUUUAUCAGGCUUAGCCAAAACACACAACCUAACUUUUCAAGGCUAAGUUAGAACCUAUACCCAAUCAAGCAAUCCUAGCUUGAAUCAAUCCCUUAGAGUGACUUUUUCACUCUAAGAAUACAAAGAGAGAAGUGAUGAGAGUGUACCUAUGAUCACAAGGUUGAUCUAAGUGGUACAAAGUGAAGUGCAUAUCACAAUUACAAAGAUAAGAGUUGAGUGCAGUAAAUGAGCAAAGAGUAUUUGCAGGUUUUUUAGCUCUUUUGUGUUCUUAGAAGCCUUCAUUACAUUUCUAGCCAUUGAAACCCUCUUUUAUACUUGAAAAAUCAACUCUGAAGUGUUUUAGACAGUUUUUGACCGUUGAAAAUAGUUUUGUUGCAGUUCUAGCCGUUAAUCUAUCUUCUAGUGCACAAUUUAAAUUUUCUGGAAGAAUGCUCUUAGUCGACUAACUUAUGUCUUAGUCGACUAAGUUGUCUCUAUUUUCUAUUUCUAGUUUUUGACAGUAAGUACUUAGUCGACUAACUUAUUUCUUGGUCGACUAAGUUGGUUCUAUCUUGAAGUUCAGAUUUCUAACAGUAGCUUCUUAGUCGACUAACUUAUUCCUUGGUCGACUAAGUCUUUUUUGUUUCUCAAUACUCUUCAGCUCGCCAACUUCUAGUUUAAAUCUUAGCUGACUAACUCUUCAUUAAUCGACUAAGGGGCUUCUGUCUUAUUAAUCAAUUGUGACUUCCUUAUUCUUAUGCUCUUUGAUAUGUGCAUUUGAAUGAUUGAUUAAUUAUUUGCAUACAAUUUUUGUCCUGAACACUCAAGUAGAAAUACUAGAUACAAAUGAAUGGGAAUGUUUUAUUAUCAUCAAAAACUAAUGAAGCCAACAAUCUCCCCCUUUUUGAUGAUGACAAAACAUUCCUUAAUUAACAGCACAGUGUCUUUUUAUUCUUUUUCAGUUCUGCACAAAAUGGAGGUUUUCCUCCCCUUAAGUGUGUGCACCCCCUUAGUGUGUGUAUAGUUUUAUUAUUCAUUUCAGCAUGUUUUUAUUCUUGUCAUACAGAAAAUGACAUGUAAAGGUUCAAAUUGAUGACAGAAUAUAUUUAUACAAGCUUGUGGAAUAAUAAGCAAUAAGUGACACAGUGACAGAACAUUAUUACUAUUUCAACUUGCCAUCUAUCAUAUUGUUUCCAGACUUAAUUCAUUCGAAAGCUAAAUGCCAUAAACCAUCUAGUCAAAAAUAUUAGCAUUCAUAUUUAUUUUCAUCCAAAUCUCACUCACAAUAUCGUAUCAACUAUUAAUGAUCAGCACAACAGCUCAAUAUCAGCACCAAAGUAACAGCAUAAACUCAAUGGCAAAUACUCUAAUAACAGAUUUAAAUAUUCAACCAUCAACUUGUAGACAUAAACAGCAAUAAACCACAAUGUCUUUCAGCAUUCAAAAACAUCUAACAUCAAAGUUAAAUUUAAUUGUUCAACUGUCAAAGAAAAAAAUAGCAAGAAAAUAAAAACAGUAGUCAAUAUUCUUAAAUUACCCCAAGUUCUUUUCUACCCUCUUUCUAUCUCCCUAGUUUCCUAUCUCUUAAUUCUCUCCCUUUUUGUCAUCAUCAACUCUGAAGGGGGUUUCAAUCCUCUGAAGAGGUGGAAGGAUUAAAUUCAUCAAUGCCAUAAAAAACAUUUAAAGGUUCGGGAUAGGGUUUGGGUGGUGAUUUUUGUGGUGAUUGUUCAGGGGAUAAUUUAUCAAAAAUUUCCAAGGGGUCUUGGGGAGAUGAAAUAGUUGCUGGUUUAGCCUUUUCAACAAUUUUGGAGGAUUUUCUUCUUUUGAGGAAUCUGGUCUUGGUUGCCAUUGUUUUCAUCCCUUUGCUAGGAGGUUUUGAUUUGGCUUGUGGAGCUACAGCAGCUUUUUUUUUUCCUUUACCUGAUUGUUUUUCUACUGUGACAGCUGGUUCAGUGGAUGCAGACUUCUGUGCUUGAGCUUCAGCUGCUUCCUUUUCUGCUUGCUCUUCCCUAACCAUCUAAUGGAAAAUGUCCAUGAUGCAUACUUCCUCAGAAUGAGGAGGAGAAGGCUGCUCUUUUUGAGGUUCUGUAGGGGAUAGGGGAUUUUCAUCAAAUGAGCCAACCACCUCAGUUCCUUGUUCUAACUCAGCUUCCUUUGGAGGCUCAAGUGAGGGGGUUUUUCUUGGUUGAUCCACUUCAGGUUCAUGACCCUCGACUUGAAAAAGCAAAACCUUUAGCACCUUGUCCUUCUUCAAGACUUGGAGUUGCAGAGGUAUCUACAGCUGCAGGUUCAAAAGGCAUUUUUCCUUUUUCCUUCAGCACAUUUUCAAGCUUUGCCAAUUUCUUUUCAAUUUUCAGCAUCUUUGCUCUUUGGUCAGUCAGCUUUCCAUCAAUCCUCAUGAGCAGAUUAAAAGCCAUCUCAUUAGAGAACUAAGAUGAGGAUGCUUCAAGAUGUGCAAGUAGAGAAGUUUCUUUUCCAAUAACAACCUUGGGGGUUUUAACAAAGGUUUCUCCAUCUAGCUUAUACCCCAUUUUAGGCAAACUUUAAAGGAAAAUGGCUUGGUCUCUACUUUUUACUUUAUUUGCUUCAUACUUAAAGCUCCAAAUACCUUUCUUCUACACUAGAGAUGUGAUAAUAUUUUCAUAAGGCAAAUUUAUUUUCUCCAGUCGACAUGCUCCUCUCAUUCUCUCAAUCAUAAAUCUGCCCAGAUUCAGUGAAACACCACUGAAUGCAUGCUCCAUUAGCCAUAGAUCUUGGAGGCUAAUGUAGCUAAAACUUCCACUCUUGCCAUGAAUGUUCGUAGCAACAAAGUAAUGCAAAAUUCUAAUUUGAGAACUUGUAAUAAGGCCGACAUUACUUUUGAAAGAGUAUUUUUCCUUCUUCCUUGUGAUAAUUUCCCAUAGGAAUUAGGGGUUAUAAUUUUCAAGGAACUCAAACUCACCAUCCUCACAUUCGAUUUUGAGUAGGCUUCCUAAAUCUGUAGCAGUAAUAGUAAAUUCCUUUCCAUUCAAAUAGACAUUCAGACCAUCCUCAAUAUAAUCAUCAGAGUCCUUAAGUUCAUCCUUGUUUAGUGCUAUACUUGCAUAAAAUUCUUUAACUAAACUAGCACUGUAGGAUCGAUUCUUAAAUGUACUAAACUUCUUCAGUUUUAAUUCCUUAAAAUAAUCUGAUAAGCUUGUUUGAAUUUUUAGAAUUUCAUUAAAACUGUCCCAGUCAAUGAAUUUACCAUAAGUGAUAGGGGCAUUCUCUAAUUUUCUGUAUCUAUCUUCAUGGGCUUUAUUUCUAAACUUGGAGGAUGAGAUGUUACCUUUCGUAGAUGAUUUUUCCUUUUUUUUCUUCUUCUUUGCUUUCUGUUCCUUUUCUUUCUGUGAUUUUUUAGAUUUUUCACUUAUAAAUGUAGACACAAUUUUCGAUUUUUUCUUCUGCAUUUUCACUUGCAUGCCUUCUUCCAGUGGCCGUUUACCUUUUUUCUUCUGAACAAUCUCUUUGGUUAAAGAGGAUUUUGCCAUUUUGUUUUAAAAGAUUUCUAACUGAGGGUUUCGAGAAUUUGAGUGGGUAGGUUUCAGUUUCAGGUGGGUCGGUUUCAGAAGAGAGAAAAUGUAGAGGAAAUGAGUUAAUGGCAGUUUAAUCUCUCCAAAAACCAUUUGUCUCCCCCUUAAAUAUUGUCAGUUUUUCUUCUGUUCAAAAUUUGAAAAUUGCCUCUCAUUUUUAUUUUUCAACUGGGCGGUAUUUUGUGCCCAUUUCCUUCACCUGGUAUACUAUUUUUUUUAUUCAUUUUCCUCUAACUAACUGAGCCUUAUUAUUUAAAGAGACAGAAUGCUCUUAGUUGACUAAGUGUCUGUCUUAGUUGACUAAGUGCCCAUUGUCUUUUGAGAAAAUUUUAAAAUUUUUCCUAAAGCUCCUGCAUACUGACCAUUCCUAAAUUUCUUCUAAUCUCAUAGAAUCUAUCCUCAUUUAAAGGUUUUGUGAAGAUGUCAGCUAAUUGAUGUAAAGUAUUUACAAACUCAAUUUUAAUGUCACCUUUCACUAUGUGAUCUCUAACAAAAUGGUGUCUAAUCUCAAUAUGCUUAGUCUUAGAAUGUUGCACAGGAUUUUUUGAAAUGUUGAUUGCACUUGUAUUAUCACAAUAUAUUGGUAUGUUAUGCAUUGAUAUUCCAUAGUCUUUUAGUUGUUGUUUAAUCCACAAGAUUUGAGCAUGAAAGUUGCCUAAAGAUACAUAUUUGGCUUCAACUGUGGACAAGGCAACUAAAUUCUGCUUAUUGCUUGACAAUGACACAAGCAUACGACCUAGAAACUGACAAGUUCCACUAGUACUCUUUUUAUCUGUUUUACUACCAGCAAAAUCUGCAUCAGAAUAUCCAACUAAACUAAAGGAUGAUUCCUUAAGAUACCAUAUUCCUAAAGUUUGUGUAUCUAAGAGGUAUUUAAAAAUUCUUUUAACAGUAAUCAGAUGUGAUUCCUUGGGUUGAGAUUGAAAACGAGCACACAAACACACAGAGAAUUGAAUAUCAGGCCUGCUGGCUGUUAAAUAGAGUAGUGAUAUGAUCAUACCUCUAUAAAGCUUUUGAUCAACAUCUUUUUCUUUUUCAUCUACAUCAUGUCUGGUGGAUGGACUCAUUGGUGUGCAAAUUGAUUUCAGCUUCAGCAUAUCAAAUCUUUUGAACAUGUCUUGAAUGUAUCUUUUUUGGUUGAUGAAGAUUCUUUUUUCACUUUGUUUGAUUUAGAGGCCAAGAAAGUACUUUAACUCACCCAUCAUGCUCAUCUGAAAUUCUUCCUGCAUCUCUUUGGCAAAAUUCUUGCAUAAAGCCUCAUUAGUUACACCAAAUACAAUGUCAUCCACAUAAAUUUGAACAACAAUUAAAUCAUUUAAGUAUCUUUUCAUAAAUAAUGUUGUAUCAAUACUACCUUUAACAUAAUCUUUUUCAACCAAAAAUUUUAAAAGCCUUUCAUACCAAGCUCUAGGAGCUUGUUUCAAUCCAUACAAGGCUUUGUGAAGUUUGAAGACAUGAUUUGAUUUUUCAAAAUCCUCAAAAUCGGGGGGUUGCUCAACAUAAACUUUUUCUUGGAUGAAACCAUUUAAGAAUGCACUCUUUACAUCCAUUUGAAAUAAGUUAAAGUUCAUAAAGCAAGCAAAUGCAAGCAGUAAUCUUAUAGCUUCUAUCCUAGCAACCGGUGUAAAGGUUUCAUCAUAUCUAUUCCUUUCUCUUGGUUAUAUCCUUGGGUUACCAACCUAGCUUUAUUUCUAACUACAUUCCUUUGUUCAUCUACCUUAUUUCUAAACACCCAUUUUGUUCCAAUAAUAGGGUUGUCACGACCCAAAUUUCGGGCCAUGACCGGUGCAUGGGCCCAAUGGACAUAGUCCACUAAGCCCAAGCAAGCCUAUCGAAUUAUUUUACUCCUCAUUCCAUCAAAUAUUGCUAAGUCACGAAUUAUAACUUUAAAUCAAAAUAGUAAUAGACAUUUUCAACUCGUAUUGGCAUUACUCAUUUAAAAUAUACAUACAUCGUCUUCAGCAUGUGUCUUAAUAAUUUACAUCAAGUUUGUUUAUAGAUCUCAAAAAGAAGACUCGAUUUUCAACGAAGAGACUCGGACGAAUGUACAGCUACUGAAUGUCGAGACACCUACCAAAAGAUGUGUACAAGUCUAUAAGGACACCUCAUCCUAGUUACCGGCUGCCUCGUGAUCUGAAAACAUGAAGUUGAAAAUGGUGAGUAUAAACCCAAUGAGUGAACAAGAAAGGGAAUAAACAUACCGUAAGAAAUCUUUAAUGAAAUCAUGAUGCAUUCUUUUUCAAAACAAUGCAAUUUGUUUUUAUUCUUACUAAAAACCCCUCAUUAAGCCCUUAAUUGAUUGAUCAUUUGAAAAUCAUGAAUCCAUACACAACGAACCAUUUGAAGAAUGAAAGCUUCAAUGAUAUGUAAGCAAGUCAAAUAUGACAACGAAUCUUCGCUGCAGCGAGAAUGAGUUUUCGUUGCAGCGACGUUGGGAUUAAGUUAUUAGCUGAACGAGGGUUUCUCAACUGGUAGAGGAUUUCUCACUAAACCUCUUCCCUUUAAACUUAACUCAUUUAAUCCUUAAUGUAGGAAGUCUAUGCUCUGAUAUGGUAGUAAAGAAGUGAAAGAUAGGGCAACAAUUGGACAAGAUAGGAGACCAAAACAGAAGGUUUUUCGCUGCAACGAAAUUAUAACCCAAAAAUAGAAGGUUUCUCACUGCAACGAAAUUCUUUCUCGCUGCAGCGAAAUUCAGCUGAUGAAGCAGAGAGUUUUUCACUAUAGCGAGAUUCCUUUUUCAUUGUAGCGAGAGGCUACGGUGACUAUCUCGCUACAGCGAAAUACAUUCUCGUUGCAACGAGAACCAGUUCUGGUGAAGGUUCUCAAACUUGAGAGUUUCUCGCUGCAGCGAGAAUGAAUUUCGCUGCAGUGAAAACAGAGCAACAAGAGAAAAGUUUCCCAUCACCCAACAAAAAGGCCAUCUUGCUAAACCAACAAAAUCAACAUACAACACAUGAAAAUUCCCAAAGUGCAACGUAUCAAAUUUCUCAUAUAUGUCAAUCAUAUAUCACAUUCAUAAGUUUUCAUUUCAUAAGUCUAGAUAUGCAUACUUACAUAGAUAAACAUCAACAUCAUCAUAAACACACCCGGCUCAUGUACAUCCCCACACAUCGUGCACAUAGCCGGCACCAUCGUGUGCAUCCCCCCNNNNNNNNNNNNNNNNNNNNNNNNNNNNNNNNNNNNNNNNNNNNNNNNNNNNNNNNNNNNNNNNNNNNNNNNNNNNNNNNNNNNNNNNNNNNNNNNNNNNNNNNNNNNNNNNNNNNNNNNNNNNNNNNNNNNNNNNNNNNNNNNNNNNNNNNNNNNNNNNNNNNNNNNNNNNNNNNNNNNNNNNNNNNNNNNNNNNNNNNNNNNNNNNNNNNNNNNNNNNNNNNNNNNNNNNNNNNNNNNNNNNNNNNNNNNNNNNNNNNNNNNNNNNNNNNNNNNNNNNNNNNNNNNNNNNNNNNNNNNNNNNNNNNNNNNNNNNNNNNNNNNNNNNNNNNNNNNNNNNNNNNNNNNNNNNNNNNNNNNNNNNNNNNNNNNNNNNNNNNNNNNNNNNNNNNNNNNNNNNNNNNNNNNNNNNNNNNNNNNNNNNNNNNNNNNNNNNNNNNNNNNNNNNNNNNNNNNNNNNNNNNNNNNNNNNNNNNNNNNNNNNNNNNNNNNNNNNNNNNNNNNNNNNNNNNNNNNNNNNNNNNNNNNNNNNNNNNNNNNNNNNNNNNNNNNNNNNNNNNNNNNNNNNNNNNNNNNNNNNNNNNNNNNNNNNNNNNNNNNNNNNNNNNNNNNNNNNNNNNNNNNNNNNNNNNNNNNNNNNNNNNNNNNNNNNNNNNNNNNNNNNNNNNNNNNNNNNNNNNNNNNNNNNNNNNNNNNNNNNNNNNNNNNNNNNNNNNNNNNNNNNNNNNNNNNNNNNNNNNNNNNNNNNNNNNNNNNNNNNNNNNNNNNNNNNNNNNNNNNNNNNNNNNNNNNNNNNNNNNNNNNNNNNNNNNNNNNNNNNNNNNNNNNNNNNNNNNNNNNNNNNNNNNNNNNNNNNNNNNNNNNNNNNNNNNNNNNNNNNNNNNNNNNNNNNNNNNNNNNNNNNNNNNNNNNNNNNNNNNNNNNNNNNNNNNNNNNNNNNNNNNNNNNNNNNNNNNNNNNNNNNNNNNNNNNNNNNNNNNNNNNNNNNNNNNNNNNNNNNNNNNNNNNNNNNNNNNNNNNNNNNNNNNNNNNNNNNNNNNNNNNNNNNNNNNNNNNNNNNNNNNNNNNNNNNNNNNNNNNNNNNNNNNNNNNNNNNNNNNNNNNNNNNNNNNNNNNNNNNNNNNNNNNNNNNNNNNNNNNNNNNNNNNNNNNNNNNNNNNNNNNNNNNNNNNNNNNNNNNNNNNNNNNNNNNNNNNNNNNNNNNNNNNNNNNNNNNNNNNNNNNNNNNNNNNNNNNNNNNNNNNNNNNNNNNNNNNNNNNNNNNNNNNNNNNNNNNNNNNNNNNNNNNNNNNNNNNNNNNNNNNNNNNNNNNNNNNNNNNNNNNNNNNNNNNNNNNUUUCCUCUUUUUCUGCUUCUUCAAAUGUUUUAGGCUCAAUUUGAGACAUGAAAGCUGAAAACUCACAAGUCUCUCUUGUUGCUUUCCUAGUUUUAACACCUUGUGAAAUAUCACCUAUGAUUAGUUCUUGUGGGUGGUCGUUUGCAUAUCUCCAACUCCUUGGAUGGUCAUUAUGCUAAUUUUCAGUUUUUUGCAGGGUUUUCAUGGGUGGAGGUUCUGUUUCUCUUCCUAGGGAAUUUUCUUCACUGUUUUUUUUAUCAUCUAAGCUCAUUUCUUCCAUUUGUUUUUCAAGAUCAUCCGUAUCAAGUUCAUCAUCAGAAAUUUCCUUUUGCAAUGUAUUGGAUUCAUCAAAAACUACAUGGAUGGAUUUUUCAGCUGUUAAAGAUUUUUUAUUGAAGACUCUAUAAGGUUUUGAGUUUAAUGCAUGGCUAAUAUCCAGCUUUCCUCUUUUUCUGCUUCUUCAAAUGUUUUAGGCUCAAUUUGAGACAUGAAAGCUGAAAACUCACAAGUCUCUCUUGUUGCUUUCCUAGUUUUAACACCUUGUGAAAUAUCACCUAUGAUUAGUUUUUGUGGGUGGUCGUUUGCAUAUCUCCAACUCCUUGGAUGGUCAUUAUGCUAAUUUUCAGUUCUUUGCAGGGUUUCCAUGGGUGGAGGUUUUGUUUCUCUUCUUAGGGAAUUUUCUUCACUGUUUUUCUUAUCAUCUAAACUCAUUUCUUACAUUUGUUUUUCAAGAUCAUCCGUAUCAUGUUCAUCAUCAGAAUUUCCUUUUGCAAGGUAUUGGAUUCAUUAAAAACUACAUAGAUGGAUUCUUCAGCUGUUAAAGAUUUUUUGUUGAAGACUCUAUAGGCUUUUGAGUUUAGUGCAUAUCCUAAAAAUAUAGCUUCAUCACUCUUUGCAUCAAACUUUCCUAAAGGUUGUUUACCCUUAUUCAAUACAAAUCACUUACAGCUAAAGCUCCUAAGGUGAGAGAUAUUUGGUUUUCUACCUUGGCAUAGCUCAUAUGGGGUCUUUGAUAUCAUAGCUCUUAUAGACACUCUAUUAAGAAUAUAAGUUGUUGUGUUAACAGCUUUUGCCCAAAAGUACUUAGGCAAAUUGUUCUCACAUAGUAUAGUUCGAGCCAUUUCUUUCAAUUGUCGAUUUUUUUCUCUCUACAACUCCAUUUUGUUAGGGUGUUCUAGGUGUAGAAAAAUUAUGAUCCAACCCCUUUUCAUUACAAAAAUUCUCAAAUUUAUGUCCUUCAAACUCACCUCCAUGAUCACUCCUAAUACGAACUAUAGCUAGUCCUUUUUCAUUAUCAACCUUCCUACAAUGACUUAUGAAUGCUGGUAGAGCAUCAUUUUUAUGAGCAAGGAAAUAUACCCAAGUGUACCUAGAGUAGUCAUCAACUAUUACAAAGCCAUAAGAUUUUCCUCCUAAACUAGUUGUACUUAUUGGACCAAAUAGAUCAAUGUGCAUCAAUUCAAGAGGUCUAGAUGUGGAGACAACUUUCUUAGUCUUAAAGGAUGUUCUAACUUGUUUUCCUAGUUAGCAAGCAUCACAUAUCUUUUCAUUGUCAAACUUAAGAUCCGACAGUCCAACAACUAAAUUUUUUCUAAUCAACUUUGACAUGGUAUGUAUGCUCACAUGUCCUAAUCUCCUAUGCCAUAACCAACUAUCAUUUUUAGCAUUUUUCACAAGACAUAUUUCACAAUCUAUUUCAAGAUCCUCAAGAAAUGUAACAUACAUAUUCUUUAAUCUUCUUAUAAAUGAGACUUUAUUAAUGCUUAUGUCUAUCACUUCACAUUUGGUUGAGUCAAAACAUACCUUAAAUCAUUUAUCACACAAUUGACUAAUGCUCAAUAAAAUAUGUUUCAAACCUUUAACCAAUAACACAUGACUUAUUUGAGUUUGAAAGUUCAUACCAACUGUUCCUAUGCCAUGAAUUCUACCUUUUGAAUCAUCACAAAAGGAUAUGAUACCUCCAUUUUUCUUGUCUAGCAAUGCAAAUAGCAUUUCAUUUCCUGUCAUGUGCCUUGAGCAACCACUGUCCAUAUACCAAGGUUGCUUCUUCUUGAGCUGAGCUCUUGAACAUGUAUCUUUUGAGUGCAGCUCAACCUACAAAACAAAUAUUCUUGAACAUGUAUCUUUUGAGUGUAGCUCAAAAUACAAAAUAAAUAUUCAAUUUUUCUUUAUAGGUACCCAUAUUUUGAUGGGUCUUUGAUUGUUAACAGCAACAUAGUAUCCUUUUGGAACCCAUAUUUUUCUUAUUUUUUGCACAUUUCUUUUUCUAUUGCAAUCAUAGGAGAAAUGGCCAAUUUUAUCACAAAUAUAACACCUAGAUGAUGCAUUAGCAGAAUUUUUCUUGUGGUAAGCAUUUCUUUUUGGAGUUUCAUUUUUCAUACUUUUAAGUGCAACAUUUUCUUCACUUACCUUUUGUAAAGCUUCUGUUUUUCUUUCUAAUUCCAAUUUUAAAGUUUUAAAAUCUGUUUUUGAAUGUUCCAAUUUAAUUAGCAGAAAAUUUUUAUGUUAAAAAAUAGAGUCAAAAUCAAGUUUAAUCUUUUCCAAAUCUAAUUCUAGAGAUGCAGAUUUUUCUUUAAAGUCUUGUAUUUCAAAACAAGUUUCUCAAAUUCAUCAUAUAAACAUUCAUAUUCUUCCUGAAGUUCAUCAACAGAAAUAUUGUAAGGGGAUGAGGAUACCUCAGAUUCAUCAUCCUGUGCCAUUAAACACAGGUUUGCUCUUUCUUCAGUUUUUUCUUCCUCAACUUCAGAAUUUCAAGUAUCACUGUCUGACCAAGUAGCUGCCACCAUUGCCUUCUUUGAAUUCUUGUUUCUCAUUGGAGUUUGUUCUUUCAGCAAAGGGCAUUCGAACUUGAAACGUCUAGGCUUCUUACAUUCGAAGCAUGUAAGCUCUUCUUUUUUGUUGGAGUCAUUUUUGUUUCUAGUUCUCCAUGAAGAACCUUGGUCUUUUGUAAACCUUUUUCUAGCUAGUCUCCAGUUUCUUUUGCCCAUCAAUUUUCUGAAUCUCCUAGCAACCAGUGCUAGUUCAUCAUCAUCAUCACAGGAUAGCUCGUCUAGUUCUUCUUCAAGAAUGCUGGCUUUGAGAGCGAUGCUUUUCUUCUAUUCUUUAGCUUCCCUUCUAUCUUCUUCUUCUUCUUCCUUGAGUUCUAGCUCAUGAGUAAAGAGAGAAUCACAAAUUUCAUCCAAAGUUAUAACAUUUAAGUCUUUGGCUUAUCGAAUGGUUGUCACCUUAGGCUUCUAAUUUUUGAGUAGGCUUCUAAGAAGUUUUUUAACAAUUUCAUGCUCUGGGAUUGGUUUGCCUGACUGACUAAGUUUAUUUGUGAUGUUCGUAAAUUUAUCUAAUGUGCUGGUGAUAUCUUCACCAGGCUUCAUCUUAAACAUUUCAUAUUUGUGAGUCAAGAGGGCUAUCUUGGAUUCCUUGACUUGAGAAGUCCCUUCAUGAAUAAUUCUAAGUUUAUCCCAUAUUUGUUUUGCUGUGGUACAGCUUGAUACUUUAUUGAAUUCGGUGAAAAUUAGAGCACAAUGCAAUGUAUUGAUUGCUUUAAAAUUGGUUUGAACCUUUUUGGUUUCAAUCUCGGUCCAUUCAGACUUUGGCUUAGAGAUCAUCUCAUUGGUCACCACAUUUAAAGUUGAGGGAAUGAAUGGUCCAUCAGUUAUGACAUCUCACAUCUCAUAAUCAAUUACUUUAAUAUAUAUUGACAUCCUAGUACUCCAAUAAGGAUAGUUAAAGCCAUCAAAUAGAGGUGGUCUAUUUGUUGAUUGUCCCUCAGUAACUACUGAUUUUUGUAGAGCCCUUUGGAUCUUCCCAAGGGUAUUAGACCUUAAUAACAGGGGUUAGGCUUUGAUACCACUUGUUGGUCCCAAGUAAAUGUGCUAGAGUGGGGUGAAUAGCACUUUUUGGCUUUUGGCAAUAUGAGGAAUUAAUUUGAAAUGCAAUGAAAAUAAAAACAGAGUAGACAAUGCGCAAGAAUUUAGAGUGGUUCGGUCCAAGACCUACAUCCACUACCUUGAUUAUUCAACCAAGGAUUUUCCAAACUAAUCCACUAUGAACGGUGAAAUUCACAAGCUUUCACCAAGUUUUUACAAUGACUUUUACCAGUCUUAGCCAAAACCUUUCACAAUAGUUUUACCGAGAUCAACUAAAACCCAACACCUAAUUUUUCAAGGCUAAGUUAGAACCUAUACCCAAUCAAGCAAGCCUAGCUUGAAUCAAUCUCUUAGAGUGACUUGUUCACUUUAAGAAUACAAAGAGAGAAGUGAUGAGAGUGUACCUAUGAUCACAAGGUUGAUCUAAGUGGUACAAAGUGAAGUGUAUAUCACAAUUACAAAGAUAGGAGUUGAGCGCAGUAAAUGAGCAGAGAGUAUUUGCAGGUUUUUCAACUCUUUUGUGUUCUUAAAAGCCUUCAUUACAUUUCUAGCUGUUAGAACCCUUUUUUAUACUUGAAAAAUUAGCUCUGAAGUGUGUUAAACAGUUUCUGACUGUUGGAAACAGUUUUGUUGUAGUUCUGGCCGUUAAUCUGUCUUCUAUUGCACAAUUCAAAUUUUCUGGCAGAAUUCCCUUAGUCGACUAAGUUGUCUCUGUUUUCUGUUUCCAGUUUCUGGCAGUAAGCACUUAGUCGACUAGCUUAUUUCUUGGUUGACUAAGUUGGUUCUGUCUUGAAGUCCAAAUUUCUGGCAGUAGCUUCUUAGUGGACUAACUUAUUAUUUGGUCGACUAAGUCUUUUCUAUCUCUUAAUACUCUUCAGCCCCCCAACUUCUGGUUUAAAUCUUAGUUGACUAACUCUUCAUUAAUUGACUAAUGGGCUUCUGUCUUGUUGAUCAAUUAUGACUUCCUUAUUCUUAUGCUCUUUGAUAUGUGCAUUUGAAUGAUUGAUUAAUUGUUUGCAUACAAUUUUUGUCUUGCACACUCAAGUAGAAAUAUUAGACACAAAUGAAUGAGAAUGUUUUAUUAUCAUCAAAAACUAAUAGAGCCAACAUAUAUGACUUGUCAAAACCAUCUAAAGGCCCUUCUAACGGCUUGAAACGUAAAGAGAAAAAAUCUUAAGCUAAAAAUCAGUAACAAUAAAUUGGUUGUACAAAUUUACUGUUUGCACAUGAUAGUCACGUGCUCUUUAUUUGGCCUAUACAAUGUGCAUAUCAUGUUUCUUUUCUUCAACUAAGGCCUGCAUGUAUGACUUCAAUAAACCUUCAUUCUAUUUGUAAUUCACAGCUUCUUCAUCAUCAACACUCCCCUUUAAGAUGUAUGUGAAAUGUUGUGAAUAGACAUCUUACUGAGUAAAUGAUGGAAUUGUCCCAAUUGUAAUGCUUUUGUAAAUAAGUUAGCAAUUUGUGAAUCAGUAUAUAAUAUGCAAAGGUUCGAUUAUACCUUCUAGUACCUUAUCUCGAAUAAAUUGACAAUCAAUUUCUAUGUGUUUUGUCUACUCAUGAAACAUGGGAUUCUUGCAAAUACGAAGGGCAGAUUGGUUGUCACAAUAUAACUUUACUACAACUUUAUGUUCAAAACCAAAAUCUUUUAGUAAUGACUUUAACCACACAAUUUCACAACAAGUGGAUGCGAUCGAUUUGUACUCAGUUUCUAUUGAACUAUGUGCCAUUACAAAUUGCUUUUUAGAUUUCCAACUGACUAAAGAAUUUCUAAUAAAAAUAUUGAAACCUGUGAUAGAUUUCGUUGUGUUAGGACACCCCCCAAUCACAAUCUACAUAGGUUGUGAUCUCCAUUUUUGAAUAAGCUUUCAUGAAAAGUCCUUGUCUAGGUGCAAAUUUUAAAUACUUCAAUACUUUGUAUGCUGCCAUUAAGUAUUCAUGCCCUGGUUCGUCUAUAAAUUGGGAUAAAACUUGAACACUAUAUGAGAUAUCAUGUCUAGUAAAAGUCACAUAAAACAACUUACCAAUGAGUUGUUUUUAAGCUGUGGGAUCUGCUAAUUGUUCUUCAUCUAUGGCCUUAGACAGCUUGUGAUUAUAGUAAAUAGGAGUUGACAUUAGUUUUGUGCCUAGCAAGCCAUGCUCUUCUAAGAGAUCUAGUGUGUAUUACCUUUGACAAACCGGUAUUCCUUAAGUUGAUCUUGAAACUUCAAGUCCUAGGAAGUUUUUCAAUUUCCUAUGUCUAACUAGAAUUGUGCAUUUAAGUAACUUUUGACUUCGUUUACAACUCCCAUGGAUGAGCUGCCAAUAAGAAUAUCAUCGACAUACACCAAAAUUGCAACAUAAUCAUUAUUCUUGGUCAUGGUAAACAAUGAGUAAUUAGACUUUGAUUGGCAAAAUCCAUAUUUGAAUUAAGGAAACAAUGAGUUUAGAGUUCCAUUGCCAGGAAGCUUGCUUAAGCCCAUAUAAAAACUUGUAUAGCGUGCAUACCAUUUUUCAAUUAGGUGGGCACUCCCCCUUAAACACAUAACCUUAAGGAAGCUCCAUGUAUACUGUUUCUUCCAAAUCUCCAUUCAAGAAUGCAUUGUUGAUAUCAAGUUAUGACAAGAACCAAUUAUGAGCUACUGCAAGUGCCUAGAAAACUCUAAUAGUGGUUUGCUUAGCCUCUGAAUUGAAGGUUUCUUGGUAGUCAAAACCUUCUCUUUGAUUGUACCCUUUAGCAACCAAUCGAGCCUUGUACUUCUCCACUGUGCCAUUUGAGUUCAAUUUCACUUUGUAGACCUAAUUUGCAGCCUAUAACAUGUGAAUCAUGAGGUAAAGGGAACUACACUCCAUGUACCAUUAUCUUCCAAAGCUUUCAAUUCAAAUUCCAUUGUUGUCCUUCAUUGAGAAUUUUUGACAGCUUAGAGGCAAUAUUGAGGUUCAAGCAUAUGUGAUAGAGAGGCAGUAUAAAUCCCAUAUGCAAGUGACAGUUUAGUGUUUGAUAGCAUAGUUAUCAUUAUCGUACGAUACGCGAUAUGUAUCGUACAAUAAGAUACAAUACGAUACUAAUAGAAAACAAUACGUUUCUAUAGUUAUAUCGCAUUUGAUCAAGUAUCAAAAGUGUAUCAUACAAUACACAAUACGUAUCUUACAAUACUAGGGCGUAUCAUACAGUAGAGUUGAUAUACUUUUUAUAAGCUUAAUUCUAAUUAAUUAUUAAAUAUUUUAUUUUUUAUUAUUUUUUUGAAUUGAAACAUGAAAAAUUAUAUUUUAUGAGUUUCAAUCUUUAGAUUUUAAACAAAAAAACUCAAAAAAAUUGAAUUCCUUUUUAAUUUCAACAUGAUAAAUGUUUUUUAAUUUUAAUUAAUAAAUUGAUAUGAAAAAUUAUAUAUUUUAUUUAAAAAUCUAUAUUAUUAAGGAAUAUGUUGAGAGUUUAAAUUAAAAAAUAAUAAUCUUUCAAUUUAAACCUUAUAAUCUUCAAUUUUGUUAAAAAUAUAAUAUUUUUUAAUUUUUUCUUUAUUUUACAUGUAUAAAUUAAUUUUAAAAUUUUUUACAGUAUCUUACAAUACAAUACGAUACUCUAUACUAAAAAGUAAGAUUUCGAUACAUAAUACAUAUAUCAAUUUAACAACUAUGUCUGAUCGGUAUUUGGUAAUUGAAUAUACUAUGACAUUGUUAGAUUAAGGAUCAAGGUUAUGUUGCAAGGCUUUCAAAUAUCUAGGCAAAUGUCUAGCUCUAGUACUUUUCUUAGGUACUGAAUAAUCAACAAGGGAUAUGUCUUCCUAAGUUUGAGGUGAAACAGAAUCAUCAAGCAAAGAAUUUUCUUGGUGUAAAAUUAGAGAAUUAAGAUUAGUUUCAAGGAUAAGAACUGAACUAGGUGAAAUUGUUGACUUAAGAGAGUUUGUUUGUAAUAUUGAAUUCUGGCUAGAAGGGAAAUUGUUAAGGAAAGUAUAAAAAAUAUGAAGAUUUGACUCAUGUAGACUAGAUGUUUGUGAAAAGUCAAAUGGUGGUGCAAAUGCAGUACUAGUGUACAAUAGAAAUGAACUUUCAUGAAAAACCACAUUCCUUGAAAUAAGGACCUUAUGUGCAUCAACAUCAUACACUUUGUAACCUUUAACACUAGCUAGAUAACCAAGGAAGACACACUUGGAUGCUCUUUUAUCAAAUUUCUUCCUAUUAUGUGUCACGAUAGAUGUGAAGCAAAGACAUCCAAAUACUCUAAGGUGAUUGUAAGAAGGUGGUUUCUUAAAUAACAUUUCAUAUGGAGAUACAUUUCUAAGGACAGAUAGAGGAAUCCUAUUUAUUAUAUGGGCAGCAGUAAGAAUGGCAUCCCUUAAAAAUUUAAUUUGGCAUAUAGGACUGAAAGAGCAAGGAUCUUGCAACCAUCAAUCAUGUUUGGUGUUUCCUUUCAACAACAACAUUUGGCUAUGGUGUUUCUGCACAGGACAAUUGAUGCACAAUACCCUUAGAUGCAUAAACUUUAGUUAAGUUGAAUUCCAAACCAUUAUAUGAUCUUACUUGUUUGAUGGAAACAUUAAAUUGAUUUUGAAUCAAGUUAUAAAAAGAAGGGACUAAUGACAAUACAUAUGAUUUUGCUUUCAUUAUAAAUAUCCGUGUGAACUUGCAAAUUAUCAAUUAUUGUAAGGAAAUAAUGAUUACCUCUUAAUUUAGCAAUAGUAUAAGGUCCCCAAUUAUCAACAUGAAGUAACUCAAAAGCAAAUGUAAUGCUUUGAACAUGCUUAGAAAAAGAUAAUCUUUUCUAUUUUGCUAUAGGAAAACUUCACAUGGCAAUUCACAGUUAUUAGAAAUUUUUGGAAAAAGUUUGUGAAUCAUCUUUAUUUUAUCAAGGCAUAUGUCCAAGCCUAUAAUGCCAUAAGUCAAAACAUUUAGAAUCUAUUUUGCAAACAUUAACACAAACAUUUGAAGGAAAUUUGACAAUGUUCUCAAACUUAAAUUGUUUAAGAUAUUGUGCAUCAUGGUUGUUCUGCAAGAAGUAAAGUAUUAAUGUAAGCUUAGCAACUCCAAUUACAGCCUAUGUGUUGAGGUCUUGAAUGACACAAUAAGUAUCAAUAAAAUAUAUGCAAUGAUUUUUGGAUUUUUUAAAUUGAUUUACUGACAAAAGAUUGAAUCUGAAAGUAGGAAUGCAUAAGACAUUGUAUAAUAUCAAGAUUGGACUUAACUUGACUAUACCUAUAUGUGAAACAACUGCCCUGGCAUUGUUUGGUAAGUGAACAAAUAGAUUAUUUACUGGUUGGUAGGAAAUAAAUUUGUUAAGACUACAAGCUAUGUGAUCUAAUGCACUAGUGUCCAUAAUCCAAGAACUAUGUUUAAUCAGGAAAUUAUUAAAAUUCAAUGAGCUAUUUGAAUGAGAACUAUGUUUAACCAAUAAUGGCAAAAAAUAAUACCUACCAAAGCUGAGUUUACGAAGGAAGACCUAGUUUGUUGAGUGUUUUUGGAAAUGAUAACCUUACUUAUUGAUUCAUUUCUUUGAUGAGAGCAAGUAGUUUUUGAAACUGAGUCCUUGUAAAAGAUAUCUAAGACAUGGAGUUAGUGCCUAAAUCCUCAUCUUGAUCAUAUGGGAAUCAUUAGUAGUCAUGAUACUAUUCAUUGAUUUGCGACCAAAGUGAUUAGGAUUCCUUUUUUUAAGACUAUUCUUGCUUUUGUUGAAUUUAAAAUCUUCUAGAAAGCCUAUCAAUUUGUAGCAUUUCCUUUUAGAGUGUCCUUUCUUCCCAUAAUAAGCACAGAUGACGUCUGGUCUCCUUUUUCUUUUCCCAUCAGUGAUUACCAACAUAGUAAUAGAUUCUAAUAAAGGUUGUGAUUGUAUCAAUAGCUUCCUUUGCGAUUCUUCUCGUAGCACCAGAUUGUAGGCCUUGUUCAGAUUAUGAAAAGGUUCUAUUAAAAUUAUUUGGGACCUUAAAGUAAAAUAGGACUCAUUGAGUCCAUUAAGGAACAUGAACACUAUGUCUUUUUGGUAUUGAUCAGAAAACCUUAUGAAGCAUCUUUGAUUGCAAGUUCUUCCCAAAUGCAAUUCAGCUUAGUGAAGUAGGUAUCCAUUGUUCUAGUGCCUUGAGUAAUGUCGCCUAAGGAGUACUAUAGCUUACAAAUUAUUGUGUCAUCAGGCUAUCCAAAUCUCUGCUGUAAUGUGUUUCGAAUUUCCAAGGCUGAAUCCAUAUAAAAAACUAUUGAAGAAAUAUAGGGUGUUAGCUUUAUUCGCUUUAAAAUGACUAUAGUUUUGAAAUGACAAAAAUGAUAAAAAAUUACUUGAAUGAUCUCUGAACUUGUUUGAAAGAUUUUUUAAGUUGUUUGAAUAUGUUUUUGAACUUAAUUUAUUAAUGUUAAAAAUUUCCAAGCAUUCAUUUUUGAAGUGCCUAAGUGUUUCCAUGAAAAAAAUGAUCAAGAUUACUUGAAUGAUCGUUAAACUUUGUUUGAAUUAUUUUUGAAGUUGUUUGAAUGAGUUUUUGACGUUGUUUGAAUGAGUUUUUGAAGUUGUUUGAAUGAGUUUUUGAAGUUGUUUGAAUAAGUUUUGAAGAUCCCAAGUGAAAAUGUUUCAAAAUUCCUUGAACAUUAUUUGAGUUAUCCUUGAAAGUUUACAAGCUUGAUUUAGAUGUAUGAGUGUUAAAUUUGUUUAAAUGAGCUUUAGAAUCUCUCUAAAACUUAUUCUUGAAAUGUUAAAGUGUUUGAUUUCCAAGAUAGCUUCAUCAAGUAAAGAGGCUAAGGUGUGUAAAGCAAAAACCAAAUCAAAAGAACCUUUAAAGAGCUUUUUGUCUCCUAUCUAUCGAUAGAUGUGGUUCUACCUGGUAUCUAUCAAUAGAUACACACGAACUAUCAAUAAAUAGUGACUAUUGAACACAAAAUUCAAAAGGAAAACAAUUAGUUUCUUUACCAAACUUUCUCCAAAGGCUUUAAAGGCUCUCCAACUAUAAAAAAGACUUCUUCAACACAUUUAGAAUGUUAGAAGAGUGGAGAAAAACAUCAUUUGAUCAAGAAUCAAAUCACAUGAAGAAAAAGAAGAAAAAGAGAGAGAAACCAAGCUAAAGUAAGAAAGUUCAAUUCUUGCACUAAGCUUUUAAGAUUUCUUGUGCUAUAAUUUCCUUGUACCUUCAUUCCUAUCUUUUGUAAUCAUCUUUAUCACCAUCAUACUCUUCCAACUUUGCACUUACUUAGCAAAAUUCACCUUUUAGAUGUAUCCUUGUUACUCAAAAUUGUAAGAGAGAAAAGGUUGUACUUUAGCCUUAAAAGGCAUUGUAGAAAGGUUAUGCUUGAUCUAUAAAAGGCAUUGCAUUAUGACGGUUGUGCUUGAUCCUUUAAAAAGGCAUUGUAAAAGUUAUGCUUGAGCCUUGAAAAAGUAUUUUUCAUAGUAGAUUUAAACUCCUUAGCUUGCUGAGGGAGAAGACGUAAGCAAGGAGGCCUAACCUCUAUAAAAAUAUUUUUUUUUUAUUUUUCAGUCCUUGAAUUUAUGCAUUGACUUAAAUCAUUUAUCAAAUUUGUUCUUAACUUGUUUAUUCUUAAUUUACUCUUCAAAUUAUUAUUGACACACUUUGAUAGAAAAACAAAUUUGUGAAAAUAAUUUUUAGCUUGACAUGAUUGGAAGAUUGUGAAAUUUUACACUAGUUCAUUUUGGCUUAAAAAGUUUGAAAAUUUAUUUUCAACUUGUUUGUUCAUUACUUUGCUUAUUACUUUUGGCAUGUUUUAAAGUGAACAAAUUUGAGAAACUUUUCUUCAAACUUGGUUUCAUUAAAAGUUUAAAUUUGUUGAAAAGAAAUUACAAAAAAAAACCAAUUAAGCCCCCUUUAGAUAUUUAUCUCAUUAUUAUAGAGCUAACACUUUUAAUAGAGGAGGUAAUGGAUUCUAACAACCAAGUUCACUACUAGAAAUACUGGUUUCUGUGAUAGAAAAAACCAUCACAAACAAAAAUUAGUGACAAAAAUUAUGACAGAUAUUUAUCCACACUAUACAUCACCCUACUAAUACUUCUGUCACAAAUUAGUGAAAUUUCUGUCACAAUUUUUUGUUAAUCUAAGCAGUUACCCAUCCGUCAUUCUAUCACAGAUUUAAGAAAAUGAUCACUAAAUUCAUUACAAUAUUUUGUCACAGUUGUAAAAUAUUGUAACUGAUUUUGUCACAAAAUUAUGUUAUGAAAUCUAUUUUGUCACUAAUUCCAUCACUAGUACUUGUCACAAUGUGAUAAUAUUGUCAUUUAUUCUGUCACUAGUAUUUUUCAUAAUGUAAGAAUAUUAUCAUUGUUUUCUAUCACAGAAGACAAUUGUCACUGAUUCUAUCACAAAUUUUUGCCACUAUUUAGACACUAUUGUCAUUAAAUCUGUUACAACUUAUGUUUGUGAAUUACUUGAUUCCAUCACUAAUAAAAGAAUUUGUUACUGAUUUUUAAAUAUUUUUGUCACUAAUUAAAAAUCUAUCGCUAAUUUAAUAUAUUCUGUCAUUAAUAGAAUAAUCUGUCACAAUAAAUUAUAUUUGUCACAAAUAAUUACAUCCAUCAUAGUAAACAAUAUACAAUACCUAAAUCCGUACUUGUUACAAUUCAAUAAUCAAUUUUGGUGACAAUGGAACUACCACAACAUCAUAAUGUCACCAUCACAUAACAUGAUAGCAUUAAGAAUAAUAAAUCCAUCACCAUAGAUAAUUUUGAUGAAACCAAUCAUAAUAUAUUCAACAAUAUAAUACCACAAGUGUAGUUGAGUUCAACUAGAUGAACAAAAUAUAUAGAACCUAUACUCGCAUUACAACAUUACAAACUAAAAUACUUGAAGCAGGUCACCAUUCAUUAAUAACCACAAUGGUUCUACUAGUAUGUAUGAUUGUAUGUCAUAUAUCUUAUAGCAAAUACCUCUUAACCUUUAAAAAUAUGGAGAAUGUUUCCCUCCAAUUACUCAUCUACUAUCCAAAGAGCAGUCUUCGUGAACUUACAAACUCAUAUACGUCAUUUCCAGCUCUAAAGGCAUCGGCAUAGCCACAAAAGGUUUAUGGCAAAGUAUAAAGAUUAAAUGAACAGUUGAAUGCUAGAUAUUUAUACAUUCAUUAGGAAGUAUACGUUUUCAAGGAGUAAGAAGUAGAAAGAAAUAGGAGAAGAAAAACAGUAUAUGGUACUAGUAUUCUAUUUAUUUAUUUAUCUUCUCAACAAUGUAGCUUUCACCAUGAAUAAAUAAGUCUUAAAGCAAGAAGUGUCUAUCCUUACGGAAGUGAAUCAUGAGCCACAUAGUCAAUUUUGUGUUUAUCAAAAAAUUCUUAAUUGAUCACCCACGGUGCAUCAAGAAUGACUUCAUCAGCCCACUUGUAAGAAAUUAUCGACAGAGAACUUGAAUGAAGCUCUUCAAAUAUAUUUAAUUCACUAAAAUUAUAAAUUAAAAAUGAAAGAUCUCAUAUAAAGAUGUGACAACCACUUUCUUCCAAAGAAAAAAAUUCAAGUGAAUUUGUAAUUAAGGCUCCACUGGUUGAGGGUUUUGUUACUUGCUUUUUGCUAUAUAUUUUGCUACCUAAAAAGUAGCUAAAAAGCAAAAAUCAUAAUUUAUUUAAAAUGAACAAAUUGUAUAACAUCAAUUCUAACAUAAUUAUUCUGGAAAAAAACACAUUUACGAUUUUAAUUCUUAAAUCCUCAAAUUCACUAUUUUCUUUUGCAUCCAAACACAUAUUUUCGCCUUUCACUUUCAAAAAGCAAAAGCAACAACCAAACUGUACCUCAAAUGAGCAUCCUGAGUAAAUUUCUUUCAAGUGUUAUUCAUAACAAUUUUGCCCUUAAGUUUGUGAGUGAUUUCAUCAUUGCAACAUCCAACUACUACAUACGUAUAAGGAAACCUAAAAUUUCCAAAAAUUCAAUCAUAUACAUAAUCAACAAAAAGUUCAAAAAAAAAACAAACCCAAGCCGGCAACUGCACGUAAGUAAUAGCAUUAAGACUUCUUUCUAAUACAAAUAAACAUACAUGAAAUCAAAUUCACAUUAAAAAAAAUUAAAUAGAUAAAAAAAUAAGCCACACACUAGAAGUUAGAAAGAAACCCAUUAAUCACCACGAAUUUCCACAAAUACCUAGGAAAGUAUGUACAUCAAAACAAAGAUAAAAACAGAGAGAGAAAGAGAGGAGCGGAAAAAUAGACGAUUUGUUGGCUUGUUCGAGGGAGUGAGCGUGGCCAAAGUGGUUGGGAAUUUUAGCUUCUAAGUUCUUUGUUUUUUAUCUUUGACAGUUACAUUUUCGAGUGAGUGUUGCCUUUACGUUCGGUUUUUGGUGUUCUUUAUAUUUAACAACGAACCUCACCAGGUACGGACACAUUCAACCGUUGAAAUUGCAAGGUUCAGAUAUUAAAAAAAUCAAUUUUGGUUUAGUUUUCCUCCAUAUUUCUUGGUAACCAAAGAGGAAAAAACAUAAAGAGAGAAAGAAAAAAGAAGAAGAAAAAGACCGUAAGCUCCAAAUCUGUAACAUUGGAACCGCAAAGAAAGUGAAGAGUUUGGAGAGAAGCUUCAGUUGGCAUAGCAUGACAAAGGAUGCUUUAGACGAUGAAGGAAGCUUCAACCAUCAUUCAACACGAAAAGAGGCAGUCAAGGGCGAGGGCCAAGGGGCUUCCUAUAGGUUUUUGAAAUGAAAGGUGACUGGCUGAAAGUUUGGUAAAGUGCGCCAUGGGUUAGGGAUUUAGGGAUUAGUUUGGCAAAGGCUUAGUUAAUUUUGUAAAGUGAGCCGCGAGUUAAGGAUUUUAGACUAAGUUCAAGUCCUUAUAUCAACAAACUUGAAUAUUUUAUAUUUUAUUAUUAAUAAUAAAAUUUUAAUAUGUUCAUAUUAAACUUGACUAUAUAGACUAUAAACAUUAUAAAAAUAAUAUAUUUAGAUAAUCAUAAUAUAUUAGACAUUAAUGCAUAAUAUAAUAUAUCUGAUAUUAUUAAAUUGUAAACAAAUCCAAUAUUCCUUUAUUAUAUAUAUAUGAAAUAAUGCAAAUUAUAUGUUAUAUAAAUGUUAUAUACUACAAAGUUUGUAUAAAUAGUAAUUAAUUAUAAACAAUACAUUAUAAAAACUAAAGUGAUAACUAAUAAAGUUAAUUAUUAACUAUAAUCAACUAACUUAAAGUUUAUUAUAAGUUAUAGUAAAACUUAUGUAUAAAUUAAAUAUAUGUAUAUUAUAAGUUUAUUACAAAACAUAACUAUAUAUAAGUGUAAUAAUUAUAACAUAUUAAUUUGUAGGAUAUUUACUAUCAUAUUAAUAUUAACAUAUAAGUUAUAUCAUUUAAAAUAUAUAAUCUGUAAUUUCAUAUUAAUAUAGGUUUAUAAAUAUAUAUAGUUAAUGUGAAAUUGUCAUAAUUAUAAUUUGUAUACGUAAAUAUAUACAUAUAAUAAAUUAAUUAAUAUAUUUUAAGUAUAUUAUUAAUUAAGUUUACUAUCAUUCUUCUUAAUAAUUUAUAUUAACUAAUAUAAUUAGUAUGGCAAGUAUUAUUAUUUUUGUAUAACUUAUAUAGUUAUAUAUUUAUAAAUACCCAUGGUUUGUAGUGAUAAUUACAUGUAAUUUCAUAUUAAUUAAUAUAGGUUGAUAUAUAUAUAUAUAUAUAUAUAUUACCAAUUUUAAAUACUUAUAAAAACGUAAAUAUAUACUAUUCACAAAAACUAAAAUAUAAUAUUUUUAAUUUAUCCAAGUAAAAGUAUUUAAUUUUUUGUUUAAUUAUAUAAAUAAAGUUGAAAGUAAUUUUUGUGACAGAUUUUUAGUACAGACUUGUAACAACCAAUUUUAUUUUUAAUUUAGCAAGGUGCCUUUUUUUCCCUCCAAAUUAUUUGUCACAAAUCCAUCACUAUUUUUGUCACAAAAGUAUAAUAUUAAAUUAAACUAAUCCUUAUGAUAGAUUAUUCUGUCACUAUAAUCAGUAACUAUACUUAAAUUGGUCACAUGUUAUUUACUCAGUUGCUUGAAUUAAAUUUUUAUCACAAUUUCGUCACUAAUUUUGUCACUAAGUAAGAAAUCCUAGUAUCGUAAUGGUUUCUAUCACAAGAUUUUGUCACUAAUUUUGGCUCUAAGAUAAAAAUUUUAUGCUCAAAUUAAUUGUAACGAAUUUAGUGACAGAUUUAAAAUGUCGUUACAAUUCUAUCACGAAUCCAUUACUAAAUCUGUCACAAAGUCUCAAAAACAAUUUAUCAUUAAUUUUGUUACAAAAUCGUCACAAUUCUGUCACUAUAAGUCAUUAUCUAUGACAAAAAAAAUUUCCAUCACAAUUGCCAAGAUUUAUGGUAGUGGCUACAAUUAGGUUGUUACAUCUCUUCUAAGAGACAUAUAAGUCAUCAAAAAGAUUUGGUUUAGAGAUGGAACCGUCAAGAAAUCCUGAUAUAUUCCUAACAGAUAGUGCCAACAUAAAAGAAUGGCUCCAGGUCACAAAAUUGGUUUAAGUUAGCAUAAGUGUUAUAACAACUGAGCCAUGAUGGUUAAUAUGGUGAAGGCAAUAUGGUGAGUGUAUAUCCUUGAUCUUUGAAGAGGUUGAUCUCAUAUUGGAAGCAUUAGAUGCAACUAAUGUAUUGUUUUCAUUAAAAAAACAUUGACAAAGCUUAGUUCAAACACUCAAAAACAGCUAAUGAAGCAAGCAACAAUAAAGAAAUAAUUUGAGGUACAACUAAGAAUUAGUCUCAAGUAGGGUUAAGAAGUAAUUACGUAUAAAUAACGUAUCGGAUGUUGUUUUGACAAAUCAACAAACAGUUACCAGAUCUGUGCCAACAAACUAGCACUAACAAAAAGCCAAAUGUUGAAAAUCCCUUACACCAGGAGCUCUAAUAGGGUCUGAUACCAUGACAUUUUUAGGAAAAUAGAUACUAAUUUAAUAGUGAAAUGAUUGGAAGUAUUGCUAUAUUUCUCAAAGAAUAAUCGAAUGAAUACAAAAGCUUAUUUAUAUGACUUGUCAAAACCAUCAAGAGGCCUUUGUAACAACUAGGAAUGGAAAGAGAAAAAAUACUAGGCUAAAAAUUAGUAACAAUAAAUUGGUUGUACAAAUUUACUGCUUGCACAUGAUAGUCACGUGGUCUUUAUUUGACUUGUACAAUAUGCAUAUUACAUGUCCUUUCUUCAAUUAAGGCCUGCAUGUAUGACUUUAGUAAACCUUCAUUCUAUUUGUAAUUCACAGCUUCUUCAUCAUCAAUAUGUCAUGUAGAAUUUUGCAUGAGUUUUUGCUAUAUGGCAUAUGCAUGUGCAAUACAACCUAAACUUCCUUUAGACUUGUGUGCCCUAAGCUUGGUUUCAAUUUUUGGCUAGUGGCCCUUUUGCUAUUAUCGUUUUGGCUAUUUUAGUCAUUGAACUAACACUCUGAUUUGAAAUAUAAGUCAAAUUCUGUGAAAACUAGAGUUUACACCAAACUAACAUAUAUUGGGUAUUACGCAACAUGGAAGAGAUCAUACAUAACAUUUAUGUUAUACGCAGCAAAAAAUAAAAAAAAUCUAAACAAAGUCCCAUGCUGUCACCCAUGGAAAUCUUGGUGGUUUUAAUACAACUAAAAACCAGAAUAGAGGAGUAACCAAAAAAUAAAAUUACCUUUUGCAUGUGAUGUGGCUAUCACGAUGGUACCUCUUCCUUUUUCUAACCCAUGAACACCACACAAAGAGCAAAGGACUUGAGCAACUUAAAUGCUUGACCUCUAAUAGUCACACACACGAUUGCACUUGAACCUUCACAAGGAAGGAGCUUUCUUCACUAUGCCUUUAUGCUAGUAAGGUGGACAACCACCUGUCCUCUCCACACAAGCACACUCCUCCUAACCGAAUGACAAAGUUGAAAAACUGUUUUUCCUAAAUUUCUCAAGAAAAAGUGCAGCUAGGAUUUUCUUGUUAGUUUUCUGACACUCAAAAACCUAUAUUGUGUAUUUUUCUUUUUCUUUCUUGUGAAGAGUAGUUGAAAAAUAAUAUUUAUAUCUAGGUUAUUUAACUUUUUAAUUAUAAAUAAGGCCUUAAUAUUAUAACCUUUUAUAAUAUUGGCCCAAUACUUAAUUAAACCUCUUUAAUUAAGUCAUUGUAAAUUAAAAUCAAAUUUAAUUUACUUCAUUUGUUUACAGUUAAGACUUUAAUAUUAUAACUAAUUAUACUAUUGGCCUUACACCUAAUUAAACUAUUUUAAUUAAGUUCAUAGAGGUUAAAACCUUACUGUAUGAUUGAAGUACAACUUUACUCAUUAUACUCUCAAUUUAAUUCAUACUGUAACUUAUUGUGUGUGACCUAUUAUAUUUGUAACAUAUUAACAAUGAAAUUGAAUUAUAAUCUUUAUUAAAUUAAUUAAUUCAAUUCCAUAGUCCAAGAUUGACAUCUAGCAAUGCAUCAUGACCAUCCAAUUGAUAAAAAAGUCAAAGGGUUCUUGGACAAUCUUUCAACGCACAAUCUAUUAGUGUAAUUCAUUCUUUCAUCAUAUAUCUCGAAAAUGAUAAAAGCAUGGUACAAUGUCUACUCUUAGUUAUCUCCAUAUUUGUUCUUGAAGUUAAAUCGUUAACUUUAUAGAGACUUAUGAAACACUUUUCAUAAUCUCCAAGCCACCUUGACGAAAGACUUCAACAAGUUAAUAUCAACCAAGAAUUGUUUGGAUAUGCCCUUUAAAUUACUUAGGGUGAUGAUUCCUUUUUGAUCACUCAUUUGCCUUCACAUGCUUCAUACUACAACCAACCAUGUCACGACCCGGUACUCCCCUUGAGCCCGUGACAACCGCUGCGACGUCCCGAUCGACACUCUUUACCUUGAAUAUCAACCGGAACCCCGCAAGGCUUUAAUAUUAGUUUCUCAUUUCCCUUGUGAGCAACCAUUGUCAAAUAUCGUGUUCUAAAAAAUUUUAAGCUAUUUCCAACUUAAAACAAAUAAAAUAUUAAUUUUCAUCUCACAAGGGUAUUUUGGUCAUUUUUCCAAAAAUUUUGAAACCAGCCAAUAAUGUAGUAUAUAAGUGCAGAACACAUAUUUCAAAAUCAAAAAUAAAUUUAGAUGUCUAAAACAUUCGUUUAAAACGAAAUUAUGAUUAUUUGGAUAUAAUAAGACAAUAAAAUAAAUAUUAAGUAAAAUAUUAUAUUUUCUUAUGAAACAAUAUUUUUAGAGUUAUACGUAAAUAAUUUUUAUAGCGUAAAAGUUAAAUAAAUUCAUACAUACUGUAAUACAGUAAGUCAAAGUAUUUAAUUUAAUUUACAAUAAUAAGUGGGCCCCCGAAUAAACAAAAGUAAAGAGGACUGCGAACUUAUAGUUUGAAAAAUACAGAUCCAACGGUAGUCCUCGAUGAGAUCAGCUAUCUACAGUCUAUACUGAACCUGAAAUGGAUGGAAAUGAGGGUGGUGAGAUUAUAAAAUUCCAAUGAGUAAACAGACAUCAUCAUAAACAUCUAGAGUUGAGUACAUGAAGACAAUAAAGUAAAUCAUGUAAACUGGGUCACAGUAUUAGAACACAUUUCAUUUAAAAUACGUGAAGAGGCUUAUGAAUCACAUAAAAACUAGGCUUGUGCCAUAAAUUCAUUCUCAGGGACACCUUGGCCGAGGCAUCCUACCGAGACCGCCAAGGUUGUUAAAAAUGCACAUUUCGCAUAAAUCAUACUUUUAUUUUGAAACAUAGUCGUUCCUUGGCGUUGGCUGAGUUCCCCCUCACGUGGUGGUUUGGCAUGAAGUGAACCCUAAGCUUUACCCCAGGAGAUACCCUAUGCGCCUCUCCGUUCGAGGUAAGAAUAUAAUGGGAUUUACUAUGCCCCUCAAAAAGGCUGGUCCAUAGAAACCCUCUACUGCAGUGAUUAAUUAAUAUAUAAUCCACCAUAUAAUAAAAUUUUGACGGCAUGACAGGGCUAAUGAAAUACUACCCAGCUUGCAAGGGAAAAAUAAAACAAUUCAUACAAUUCAUAAAACACAACCUAGCCAAUCAUGCCAACACAAUACCAAUAUAACAUAAGUCAUCAAUUUAAACAAUCUAAUUGUCACAAUUAACAGUCUCCGUGUACUCUAUUUUUCAAAUCAUUAUUAAUUUCAAAAUAUUUUAUAAAUUAAUUUCAUUAGAAAACUUUUAUUCAUAAAACAUGAAAAUUUACCUUUUAAAAAUCCAUUUUUCCAUAGAAUUCAUGAUAUCAUAUAAAAACCACCCUAGAUACUUAAAAUGAAAAUAAGUUUACUAACAAUGUCUAGAAUGCAAACUUUCGAAGUACUCUGUCUACUGGUCCUCGGAUGCAAUUUCCUUGCCUUUAUCGGAAGACUCACUACCCUGACACGGUAAUAAAUUGAGAAAUUCACCACAUUGAUACUAAAUUGAAAUUAAACUAAUUUAGGCUAUUAAUGCAUGAUAUGGAAUGCAAAAAAGUCCGAAUAGCCGUUUAAAUACGGUAUUCGACCUAAUUCGCACUAUUCUCAGUCUAAUCGGCUAAAAUCUUCAAUUUAACUCCAAAUCGAUUCUUUUCACUUUCUACACUCCAAUUAUACCUAAAUUACCUCAGUAACUGUGAAUGAGGUUCAAUUUAUCGGUCUCGAGUCAAUAAUUAUACAUGUCUAUAUGUUGAGCAAAAAUUCGUAUUUUCACACCAAAAUUUCCCAUUUAAUUUCUAGCCUCACCAAACGUCAAAUAUCACCAAAAUAUCAUGAAAUAUCAUCAAAUUCAGCCACAAUAUUCUCCCUAGGAAAUUCGGCCAAUGAUGGUAAUGGGGGAAAAUGAAUUCUUUUCUUGUUGUUUUGUUUCUAAAUAUGCUAAACUAACUUAAAACACUAACAUAACUUAAAAUCAAAUCAAUCUAACUUCAUUCGCUCUCCAUACCCAUUUGAACAGCCAUGAAUUCACCAUGAAAACAUGAAAUCUAACCAUGGAAAAUAAGGAGAAAAGCAUGGGAAAGGUAGAUCACAAGUCAAAAUCAAGAAAUUUUACCUUUGAUUACUUGAUUCCUUGAAAUCCAACACUUUUUUUUUAAUUUUCCCACCUAGGUUUCUUGUUUUUCUUUUUCUCUCUUUGUUCUUACUAUGGGCGGCC